rnacentral:lncRNA from 1 species
GUGGCGGCUGGAAAGCGGGUCGGAUAGUUAGGUUUCCCUAGCUCUCUCCUUUUUCUUCUUCUGUCGUCGUCGUACUAUCAUCCCUAUUUCAGUUUGCUUAGCUCUAAAGACUCCUCCUAUAGUGGUAUCAUCGGAAUCGCCAGAAGAAGAGAAAAGAGAAGCUGUGGCAAGACAAAGGUAGUGUCGCCAGGCCGCCAUACCCAGUGGCGGUGGCCUGGUGCGGUUGUGUCGCGUCUGUUUUCGGUCGGUAUUUGGUGGUGUUUCGAGUAAGUACUAUGUGUUUGUGUCGAGUGCUGGGUGAGUGGAUCUGAAAGUGGGUUCUAGAUUGGAGCUGUUUUCGCGUCUUAUUAAGAUUAUAUUACAACAGAAAUCUUGCUUUGCUUUGGUUUCGUAUCUGAGGCCUCCGUUUUUGGGUGCUCCACUCCACUAGAUGGAUGAUAGAUACUCCCUCUGUUCCUAAAUACUUGUCUUUCUAGACAUUUCAACAAGUGACUACAUACGAAGCAAAAUGAGUGAAUCUACACUCUCUAAAAUGUGUCUACAUACAUCCGUAUGUAGUAGUCAUUUGAAAUGUCUAGAAAGACAAGUAUUUAGGAACGGAGGGAGUAGAUGAUAGAUGGUGCGAAGCUGACCGGGCAAGGGCAAAGCUGGCAAAAGGUGUGGCUUCUUUUGGGGGCCGUUGCAUCUGUGCUUUGCUUGUGGUUCCGUUUGGGGAAGGAAAAGCAGUGGGGUGCUUGGUUGAGUGCUGUGUUGCCUCACUGCUAUCCCACUUGACAUGCUUGCUUCAGAAUUUCGAUGCCUGUUUUUGGUUGCUUGGUGAGUGGUAUGUGAAUAAAUGUCUCUGUCAGUGGGUCACUGGUUUGCAUCCAAAAGAGGUGUCAAGGUCGGCUUAAAAAGAAUGAGCCUGGAUCGAUCACCAGCUGCUGUGUGUCAUGGUGGUGUCACUACUUGUCACAGCACCACCCCAUGGUUCAUUUUUUAUUUUCCCAGGGAAAUUGGGACCUAACAAAAAAUGUAGCUCACUGAACACAUACUACUAGCAGCUACCUAACAAUUGUUUCUUACUGUAUUUGUUAAGCUGCCGGAUUAAGACUCCCCGUAGGUAGCUUUGAGCGGCGGGAGAAAGAAGAUAAUUAUCUCUUGAUAGCUGUCCAACUCGACCGGAGAAAUCAGGAAAGAGCAGUAGACUGAUCAGAUAUCUGAAGAAGCCCGGCCGUGCACCGCGUCGAGGUGGCCCUGCGGCUCAAGGGCGUUCCCUACGAGUUCAUCCAGGAGGACCUCAACAACAAGAGUGAGCUGCUGCUGGAGCACAACCCCGUGCACCGCAAGGUGCCGGUGCUCCUCCACGGCGGCCGCCGGCCGGCCCUCUGCGAGUCGCUGGUCAUCGUCGAGUACGUCGACGAGGCCUUCCCCCGUGGCCCCGCUCUCCUGCCGGCCGACCCGCUUCAUCGACGACGAGUGCGGGGCGUGCACGUGGGUGGCGCUGUGGGGGGAGGGCGAGGGAGGCGGUUCUUCGGCGGCGACCACGUCGGCUUCCUCGACGUCGCCGCCAGCGGGCUCGCGUGCUGGCUGGGGGUGUUCGAGGAGAUGGCCGGGGUGGCGCUGCUCGCCGAGGACGAGCACCCGGCGCUGUGCCGGUGGGCGAGGGAGUACGUCGCGGACGAGGCCGUCAGGGGGUGCCUGCGUGACAGGGAGGCGCUGCUCGCCGCGCUGGCCGCCAGGGAGGACAAGUACGUGUCCACCGCCAGGGCAAUGGCUCACAAGUAGACACGAUCAUGCUGCUCUGCUCUGGACCUCUGGUGAUCCGUUCAUGAAUUUGAUACUUGGAACCUAUUUGGAGGCCGGCCGGAUCGUUGGCAGGCAAAUGAAUGGAUUUGUUAAGGUGUUUUUCUUUAGAAAUUUCGCACACAUUAAACAUAUGUCAAAUUACAGCACGGAAUCCAUGAGAGAAACAGAGAGAGGACGUGUGUCCAGGAACAUUUGCAUUAAAAACUCGAUUGAAGCAGAUUUCUGCAAACCCCGUCCUCAUCGCUUGUUGUCUUCAAAGACGAAGAAACACCAUGACACAUGAGUUCAAACAUCGACAACCGGGGAAUGAAGUUUUAUUCCAAAGGUCGGCACCACCGCACCACCGUCAUCCAAACGCCGCCAUAGAACACACUAAACCUAACCCUAACUACAACCGAGGCAGAGAGCAACCCACGGCCUUGCUGGCAGUGCGCGGGAGGAGUUGGCCGCCUCCCCGAUUGAUUUUUUCCUGGAUGAGAGGGAUUCAUGGUUGAAUCAACGAUGUGAAUAUACUGUGCGGCAAUUUUGAACUCAUGACGGCAUUGCUUGUUGCCAACUAGUAAAUGUAAGCAAGGAAAAAAAAUAAAAAAGAAAUUGUCAGAAGUGGGGUUUGAACCCACGCCCUCGUUAGAGGACCAGAACUUGAGUCUGGCGCCUUAGACCACUCGGCCAUCCUGACUUGUACGACAACUACAGUUUUAGAACAUAUCUAUAGAUUAUUACUACUCCGCACCUGCAUCUGUAUAACAGUGUGUAUUUUUUUUGCCUUCUCCGUAUAACAUUGUGUAAAUUGAAGUACUAGUGCAUGACAACUUAUUCAGCAGACACUCCAUCUGAGAACCGUUCCUUCCUACAAGUAAAUUCCUAUCCAUGCCAACAUUUAUCAGUUCAGCAUCGGCUUCAGGGUUCCUGAAUAAAAACUGAAACACACUACAUACAUGUUUUUGAAUUGCAAAAAACGAAGAUCAUGUAGUUCUUUUCUGAUGCUCAUUCCGGUAUCGAGCUGUUCCUAUCUACUCCCUUCAUUUAGAAUUACUUGUCGCAGAAAUGGAUGUAUCUAGACGUAUUUUAGUUCUACAACAACAACAACAACAAAGCCUUUAGUCCCAAACAAGUUGGGGUAGGCUAGAGGUGAAAUCCAUAAGAUCUCACAACCAACUCAUGGCUCUAGCACAUGGAUAGCAAGCUUCCACGCACCCCUGUCCAUAGCCAGCUCUUUGUCGAUACUCCAAUCCUUCAGGUCUCUCUUAACGGACUCCUCCCAUGUCAAAAUCGAUCGACCCCGCCCUCUCUUGACAUUCUCCGCACGCGUUAGCCGUCCGCUAUGCACUGGAGCUUCUGGAGGCCUGCGCUGAAUAUGCCCAAACCAUCUCAAACGAUGUUGGACAAGCUUCUCCUCAAUUGGUGCUACCCCAACUCUAUCUCGUAUAUCAUCAUUCCGGACUCGAUCCUUCCUCGUGUGGCCACACAUCCAUCUCAACAUACGCAUCUCCGCCACACCUAACUGUUGAACAUGUCGCCUUUUAGUCGGCCAACACUCCGCGCCAUACAACAUUGCGGGUCGAACCGCCGUCCUGUAGAACUUGCCUUUUAGCUUUUGUGGCACUCUCUUGUCACAGAGAAUGCCAGAAGCUUGACGCCACUUCAUCCAUCCGGCUUUGAUUCGAUGGUUCACAUCUUCAUCAAUACCCCCAUCCUCCUGCAACAUUGACCCCAAAUACCGAAAGGUGUCCUUCCGAGGUACCACCUGGCCAUCAAGGCUAACCUCCUCCUCCUCACAGCUAGUAGUACUGAAACCGCACAUCAUGUACUCGGUUUUAGUUCUACUAAGCCUAAACCCUUUCGAUUCCAAGGUUUGUCUCCAUAACUCUAACUUCCUAUUUACCCCCGUCCGACUAUCAUCAACUAGCACCACAUCAUCCGCAAAGAGCAUACACCAUGGGAUAUCUUCUUGUAUACCCCUUGUGACCUCAUCCAUCACCAAUGCAAAAAGAUAAGGGCUCAAAGCUGACCCCUGAUGCAGUCCUAUCUUAAUCGGGAAGUCAUCGGUGUCGACAUCACUUGUUCGAACACUUGUCACAACAUUAUUGUACAUGUCCUUGAUGAGGGUAAUGUACUUUGCUGGGACUUUGUGUUUCUCCAAGGCCCACCACAUGACAUUCCGCGGUAUCUUAUCAUAGGCCUUCUCCAAGUCAAUGAACACCAUAUGCAAGUCCUUCUUAUGCUCCCUAUAUCUCUCCAUAAGUUGUCGUACCAAGAAAAUGGCUUCCAUGGUCGACCUCCCAGGCAUGAAACCAAACUGAUUUUUGGUCACGCUUGUCAUUCUUCUUAAGCGGUGCUCAAUGACUCUCUCCCAUAGCUUCAUUGUAUGGCUCAUCAGCUUAAUUCCACGGUAAUUAGUACAACUCUGAACAUCCCCCUUGUUCUUGAAGAUUGGUACUAAUAUACUCCGUUUCCAUUCUUCUGGCAUCUUGUUUGCCCGAAAAAUGAGGUUGAAAAGCUUGGUUAGCCAUACUAUCGCUAUGUCCCCGAGACCUUUCCACACCUCAAUGGGGAUACAAUCAGGGCCCAUCGCCUUGCCCCCUUUCAUCCUUUUUAAAGCCUCCUUCACCUCAGACUCCUGGAUGCGCCGCACAAAACGCAUGCUGGUCUCAUCAAAGGAGUCAUUCAGUUCAAUGGUAGAACUCUCAUUCUCCCCAUUGAACAGCUUGUCGAAGUACUCCCGCCAUCUAUGCUUAAUCUCUUCGUCCUUCACCAAGAGUUGGCCUGCUCCGUCCUUGAUGCAUUUGACUUGGCCAAUAUCCCUCGUCUUCCUCUCCCGGAUCUUAGCCAUCUUAUAGAUGUCCCUUUCACCUUCCUUCGUGCCUAACCGUUGGUAGAGGUCCUCAUAUGCCCGACCCCUUGCUUCACCAAUAGCUCGCUUUGCGGCCUUCUUCGCCAUCUUGUACUUCUCUAUGUUGUCUGCACUCCUAUCCAGGUAUAGGCGUCUGAAGCAAUCUUUCUUCUUUUUAAGCGCCUUCUGGACAUCAUCAUUCCACCACCAGGUAUCCUUAUCUUCGCUUCUCCUUCCCCUGGACACUCCAAACUCCUCUGAGGCCACCUUACGAAUGCAAGUCGCCAUCUUCAUCCAUACAUUGUCCGCAUCCCCUCCUUCCUCCCAAGGGCCCUCCUUAAAUACCCACUCCUUGAACACCUGAGCUACCUCCCCCUUGAGCUUCCACCACUUCGUUCUAGCGAUCUUGGCACGCUUAUCCCGCUGGACACGAAUCCGAAAGCGGAAGUCAGCAACCACCAGCUUAUGCUGGGGUACAACACUCUCCCCAGGUAUCACCUUACAGUCUAGGCACGCACGCCUAUCUUCUCUUCUCGAGAGGAUGUAUUUUAGUUCUAAAUACAUCUAUUUCCAAGACAAAUAAUUUGGAACGGAGGGAAUACCUAGCAAAGAGAGCACAAGGACGAGGAGAAACCACCUAUCCUCAAGCCGCUGGAUAUGAGGCUGCGGUGACACCCAAUCGGCCUCGAGUCUCAAGGGGAAGGAAGCUAGGCUAGCACCUUCCCCUUCUCCGCUAGCUAUCACUCACUCCAGCGCUCCGCUCCGAUGGCCGCCGCCUCCUUCCUCCCCCUCCACCUCCCGGCCUCCCCGAGGCCGGCCACCGUGGCCGCGAGGGCAGCCUCGGGCGUGGCGUCGACGGUGCCCGCCGCCACGCAGACGUCGCAGCUGGAGGAGACGUUCGGCCGGAAGGGCCUCCGGUUCGGGACGGACGCCACGGGCGCGCCCACGGCGGAGCUGAGCGUGCGCAACGGCAGCUCGCUGCAGCUGCGGCUCAACGACGGGCUGGUCACGUCGUACCGGCCCAAGGUGUCCUGGGAGGGCGGGGACGGCUGCCGGGAGCUGCUCCACACCGUGGCCGCCGCCGGCGCGGUCAAGGGCGGCGUCGGGCUGGUGCUCAACGAGGCCUCCUCGUCGUCAUCGCUGCUCGGCGCGUCGGAGUGGUCGGUGGCGGACGUGGACUCGGACUCGUACGACGCGGUGCAGGUGGAGCUCGGGUGCGGCGUCGGCGGGGCCAAGCUGGAGGUGUCGUACGUGGUGACGCUGUACCCGCUGAGCAUGGCGACGGCGGUGAUCGUCAAGAACAACGGGGCCAAGCCGGUGGAGCUGACGGGCGCCGUGCUGAGCCACAUCAAGUUCGACAAGCGGCGGGGCACGGCCGUGGAGGGCCUCCGGGGGUGCCCCUACUGCUCCCACCCGCCGCCGGCGGCCGGGUUCGCGCUGCUCACCCCCGCCGAGGCCAUGAAGCGGGAGGAGUCCGGGUGGUUCGGCGGCGGCGGCGGGGAGGAGCCCCGGCAGGGCGCCUGGACCGUGGAGGAGAACCUCUACACCAUCCUCAAGAAGAAGGCGAGCAGGGUGUACGCGGCGCCGCCGGAGGAGAGGAAGAAGCGCAUCUACAGCACCGCGCCCUCCAAGUUCACCACCAUCGACCAGGUUCGUUCGUUUCUUGGGAUGCAUGCAAUGUACUGUAUGAUAAUCAUUCAUCGAUCGCUUUGCUCACUGAUAAUAUUUGGACUGUGGUGCAGUCUAGCGGGCUGGGGUUCAGGCUGGUGAGGAUGGGGUUCGAGGACCUGUACCUGAGCAGCCCGGGAGGACUGUACGAGAAGUUCGGCAACGACUACUUCCUCUGCACCGGGCCGGCGUCCAUCCUCGUGCCCGUCGUCGUCGGCCCCGGCGAGGAGUGGAGGGGGGCACAGGUCAUCGAGCACGACAACUUGUAACUGCUUUUUUCUUGCGUGCCAACAGAGUUACACAAGAAAUCAUGUACAUUCUCACAUGGGGAUGAAUCUUGUAACUACCCAUUGCGAUCAAUAUGUACACAUGCAGUAGAUUACUUGCCCAUCUCGUAACUAACAUACAAAUGAAUUUUCAAAAAAAUUACAUGGUCACGUGUGAAGAAGACUUGAAAACCUCAAAGGAAGUUAUGCUUUGGAAAAUAACAAGCAUAAAGUUGGACACUCCCUCAUAGAAUUCACUGUAUCAGCUCAACAUAAUCCACAUAACUCCAGACACAAUCAUCUGGUACAAAAGAACCAAGCGCUGGUGGCAACAUAAUCGCGGUAAGCACCACCUAUUUCUGAGAAUGUUUACUCAAGUAAACCCGCAUCCUUGAGAGCAGUCUCAAAAUUGUCCUCGCUUUUCCAGUUGGGGACCUCAGGCACUUUGUGCUGGAAGUAGUCCUCGAUCUUUGUCAUCACAACUUCAUCAGUUUGACCACAUAGCAGGUUGAACACAGCUCCUGUCACCACCAAAAAUUCAGUUAGGCCACAAGAUAAGCACUCUACUCAACACAGAUUAGCUGAUAAACUGGCAUAACAAAAUGUAUGUUUCAAAAUGAUAAAUCAUGAACACAAUCAAAGGAAAUCAAUUGACUGUCUCAAGAAAUAGGAGAUCACAACUUCUUAAGAAAAAAUUAAAUGGAACAAACAACAUGAGGCCGAUAAUCAACAAACAAUGGUCACAUCAGUUCUAUCUUAUCCUAAUAAAGGAUGCUAAAAAUCCUAUUGCAAAAUCCUACUCACAGAAGACUGGUUCUGCCGACAAAUUCAAUCUUAGGCUAGGACAAACAGGCAUUAGGAUUGACUAAAUGUAGCGUGUUUGCUUAUCACUGAUAACAGGUUCAAUCUGCCAUUAACCCCAAGCCAUUUAAUUCCUAUCAACACCAUUAAUGUCUGUCACAGCGUUGACAAAAUAUGCUUACAAUGGUGUAUGUACAUAGACUGCUAGACAAAUUUACCUUUUCGGCCAAAGCGUCCAGCUCUGCCAAUUCUGUGCAGGUACACCUCAUAAUCAGGUUCAUCUCUCGUAUUAUACUUGAUUGGCAUAUCGUAGUUGAUGACCAGGUUAACCUUUCAAAGUUAGAAUGUUAGUAGGAAAAUUUAUACUGGUGUGUCAAAAACUCAAAAUAGCACAGCGCGCAUAGUACCUGUGCUUGGUCAAACCCACGAGCAAGAACAUCAGUUGAUAUAAGAACCUUGGUGUAUCCAUCUUUGAAUUCCUGAAUUACUUUUUCCCUCUCUGCUUGGUCAAGGGAUCCUUGAAUUGAGGAGCACACAUAGUCCUCUUUUGUCAAAGCAUUAUGUACAUUCUUAGUACUAUUUCUUGUCCUCACAAAGAUGAUAACCUGUCCAACCUUUUGCCCAAACUCAAAGAUCUUGUCCCUUAUAACCUCUAUUUUGGCCGCCUCAUCAGGGACUCGGACUUUAUAUUGCUUUACUUUUUCCAAAGUAAGAUCUUCCUUCUUCACAAAUAUUUGGUUUCCGUCCUUAAUGACCCUUGUAACAAAUUCCUUCACUUUCUCGUUGAAGGUCGCAGAGAAGAGAAGCACCUGUUAUAAAUAGAAUUAAAAUAAGUAAAAGAGGACCUCCGCAAAUAAAGAGAGUAAAAGAGGCACCAUAUAGAAACAGAAACAAUCACAUCUAACCAAGAAUUUAGAAAUUAUAUAGCCAAGGCUAGUUGAAUGGCACAGCCAUGGAAUUACACCGACAGUUACAAGCAUUACAAAAGAUUAUCCACCACAUGGACAAGGCUAGUUGAGGACUGAAAGUAUAUCAACACCAUCAAUGGAUGAACUUGAAAAAACUAGGGCAAUAACAGCAGCUGAUUGGCUAUAAGAUUAUGAUAAUAGGAGUGCCCAAAUGUGCAAUUAACUAAUUACAUAGAACAUACAAUAGUAUAUGAUUCUUUCUAUUCCUAAAAUUAUCAACUUCGGAGAUGCCCCACGCAUGAACAUGCAGCCUUCCAAAAAAUAAAGAAAAUGAAUAUCACAAUAAAAAAACAUACAAAUUGAACACAACCCACUGCAUAAAGAAAAUGACUCUUUUCCAAAGCCUCUACCUAUCAUUAGCAAUUGAUGACAAGUUCAACAAGCAGCACAUGAGCACAUACAAAGCAUAGGAACAGGUUGUCUCCCUUAAUAGCCUACCAAGUCCCAACAUUCAAAAUACUCACAUCUGAUUUUGAAAUGUAACCAAGGUGCAAGCUGUUGUGUGUGAUUCUACUGCCACAGUCAAAAGUAGUCAGUUCACUAAAAAAGGGUUACCUGACAGCCACCAGCACUAUUUUGUAUAUCCUUCAUGAUCCUUAAAGAAUCAGUUUUAAAGCCCUCCUGCAAGAAGCAUUCAACAGGGUAAGAAACUGGACUCAUUCAAUCACAAAAGCAACUAGUUUACAUGAGAGCCCGCAACGUCGGAAUUUUGAGCGCCUCAAAUUUGGUUCCAGUUAUAUGAAUAUUUCUACUGUGGGUACUCCAUAAUGAUUUAUGUCCUUGGAAAACAGAUGCCUUUUUCUGUUAUUUUUAUCCACUCAGACCAAACAGAAACCAAGAGUUUUUGGUCAUCACACCUAACAUAACACGACCGCACCAUGAUGACACCCCUUAAUGCCCACUAGGAUAUCAGGAGUACAAACUAUACAGGCCGCAUUCUUUCAUAGUCUAAUUCACUGACUCAUACUAGACUAAAGGUUAUUUCAAUUUCAAUUUCAACUAAGCCACAAGAAAGUUACCUACCACAGAGGAAGCAAGUUAGUGGCAAGUCUAGCAAGUAAGUGCCACUGCUUUGCUUCUUUGCUCUUGCGGAUAGUUAUCGGUGUACAUCUCAUGGCUAUGAAGGGGAAGGUCUAAGGGACUUAACCUCAAAACACCCUCAUUGUUUGCUGCUAAGAAACAUCUGCUCUAUUUCUUACAAGGACAUGAAGGCUCGAAUGAAUAUUGCCGUCAAUGCCAUUAUUGUUUGUAGCUGAGAAAUAACACCUGUAAUGAGUAUGGACCUAACAUCCUUCUCCCUUCACUAUUAGCAUGUGUCUUACACUAAACUACAGUAAGUCGCCCGGAAAACACUGGGUGUAAUGAGUAUGGACCUUAUUAUCCUUCUCGCUUCACUGUUAGCAUGUGUCUUACACUAAACGAACAGUAAGUCACCCUUAAAACACUGGGCGCAUCAAGGACACAAAUAGAUCGAUGACAAGAGAACUAAGCUGUACCUCAGCAAGCAUAUGAUCUGCCUCGUCGAACACAAGAAUCUUGAUCUCCCUAGUCGCAAGCUUCUUAUGGGUGAUCCACUUGGUGAGCGUCCCAGAAGUGCCAAUCACCACCUGAUCGGUCACCGGAGCCAUUUUGCUGAUGGGCAUAUACUCUUUCUGAGACGACGGGAUUGCACAGGCACAGGUGAUGCCGGUAAACUUGCCCAUCCUCAUGAGCACAGAUUUAUUCUGCACAGACCAACCAAUCAAAAUCAGUACAGUACAUUACAGGGUAUAAAACUAACAGAAUCAAGCUUCAUACUGCAGUUUGUUAUUAUAUCUAAUAACCAGAUGAGAGCACAUUUGCAGAGCGUGGUAGUGGAGAGGAUCAAGCCAAGAGACGUACCUGCUGCGCGAGCUCCCUGGUGGGGCAGAUGCAGAUGGCCUGGGGGACCUUGCGGUUGGGGUCGACGCGGCUGAGCAUGCCGAGGACGAAGCAGGUGGUCUUGCCGGAGCCGUUGUGCGCCUGCGCGACGAGGUCCCUGUGGGGCGGCGUGAGGAUCAUGGGGAGCGUGAUGGCCUGGAUCUUGCUGGGGCGGCUGAACCCCAUCUCGUCGUGCAGCCCCUUGAGCAGCUCGGGGGUGAGCUUCACGUCCUCGAAGGUCGUGGCCGACUCGUACACCGUGCCGCCCGAGGUCACCUGGAGAAGCAAAGCACCGAAUCAGCAGCCGGCCGACAUCGAGAGGCGGCGGCGGCGGGGAGCAGAGCGGAGCGGAGAGGCGCGUACGGCCUGGAUUUGGGAGUCGUCGGAGUCGUCGAGCAGGGGCGGGCCCUCGGGGCCGCCGCCGUCGUCGUCCGGCACGGAGAGCGAGAGCGCCUCGAUCUGCUUCGCCUGCGCCUCCACCGCCGGCUCGAUGGGGGCGGAGGAGGAGGAGGCGGAGGAGGCGGCGGCGGCGAGCUCGGCCUCCGCCUCCGCUUUGGCCUUGGCCUCCUCCUCCUCCUCGACGUCGGCCCAGGACUUCUUCUCCGGCUCGGGCUUGGCGGCGCCGGCGUCGGCCAUCGGAGCAGAUCGGGAAGGAUCGAUGGCGAUGAGAGCUGCUUCAGCUAGAGUCGGUUCGCGUUUUUCCGGGUUUGCUCCCGAUUUGGGAGGGGAUCGAUUAUAUUGUGCUGCGUGAGGUGUUUUUUUAGCUUGGCAUGUAAGCGGAGCGCUGCUUAAGAUUUACGCGCACGCGGUCUCAGGCGGUUAAUUUUUUUUUAUUGGUUCUCAGGCGGUUAAUGCCGAGCGCCCCCUGAGCGUCAAAUAAUAAGGCCUCUUUUGGUUCAUAGGAUAGGAUUAUCAUAGGAAUAGAAAAUUUAUAGAAAAUGAGAUGACAUGUAACUCAAAUCCUAUGAGUAGGAAUAGGAAACGAGAUGUCAUUUAGUUCACAUCAAAGGAAUUUUUUCAUUGAGUCUAGGCUCAUUUUUAUUUUCCUAUAAAAUGUGAAGGAUAGGAACCAAUCCUAUGUAGAAAUAGGAAUCCAUUCCUAUGAACCAAAUGGCUCUAAAGGAAAAAAUCCUAUAAGAAUCAUAUCCUUUAGAAUUCCUAUGAAAUUCCUACAAACCAAAGAAGGCCUAAAUGGGGCAAAGGUCCACGCCUACCGGGCGCCCACAACCCAAUAACAUAUUUUUUCUUUCUUUCAGAAAUUGUAUUUUAAAAGUUUUUGUUUAUUUUUUAUGUUAAGACAAGUUUAAGAAAUGGAACAAAACCACAAGUAAACGGAAAUGUUAAAAGUCCGACAUCAGAUUUUUAGUGCUGAAAAUGUCUGUCAUGCAAAAACAGAUAGAAUUGUCAUGCUUAUGUAUCAUAAUUUGCCAUGUUCUACAGUGAACAUUGCCGUGCAAUGUAAAACAGAAAAAAUGUCAUGCAACAACAAUUAAUUGAUGUGCGUUCAAUCGGGGCCUCACGUACCAGAGGGUGCCAGAUUUUAACCCUAAGAAUUUGAUGUCAGAUUUAUAUUGAAAUCCCAGAUAAAAUCGGCUGCGCAUGCGAUAUGCAUUUUGUCGGCAAUUUGAUACAACAAUGCUAAUCCCUGUUUCACGGACGAGAGUGCCUUAGCCCGCAACUCUCAAGUUGGAUUUUCGAUCGAACAUGAACACACGUUCCCAUAGGUUGGUCUUUUAGAUGUUGUAACAUAAAAAUAACCAAAUCCUGAGUCGGCCAAGGUACAAUUGUUUCGCAAUCCGUAGGAGUGGCCUAUAAACUAUUACGGGUUAGUUUUUGCCUGUCUCUAAAGAAUAGGUUUUUGUAGCCACUGAUAGCCAUAUAUCUCAACGUGAGGUUUCCCAUGGUUUCUCUAAUACGGUUUUGAUUCCUGCUCUAUCAUGUGUGCACACGCUGACUAAGGGGAUGGCUUGCGCGUAUAACUAGCAGUGUGUGAUCUAAGUUUUAUUGCAUUCCGUUCUCCGGUGCUGGUGGCGGCACAAUUCUCUUCCGCGACGAGUCGGGAGGGUCUGGAGAGGCGUGCAUCAAUGAUCUCCUGCAAACAUAUGGGCCCCGAUGAGAAAGGACUUUGAUGAUCUCAUGUGUGAAAAGUUGUAGAUGUGGCAAAGCAAGAAGUCAACUAGUCAAGUGUAUGCUCAUUGCUGGAGUUCAAAUGAGCAAUCCUUUCAUGCUAAGCACGUUAUGGUCAUAUGAAUGCGGCCUAGAGUCCAAUGAAGGAGAUUAGAUUUAGGACUUUAGAGGAUAAUAUGUCCAUGAUUUGGAGCUUCUGCUUAGUGUAUUGGAAGAAGGUGAUAAAGGGAGGUUCAUCGCUCUUUCAAAAUGAUGGCAUGAUAAUCGAACCAUAUGAUGGUCUGUCGGCCCCGAAGUUGAUUGGUCGGAAUCAUAUCACUAUUUUGGAUCCAAAUUGCAAGAUCUCCAUGUGCAAAAUUGAAAGAACAUGCGGUGUCCCCAUGUUUGGUUUUGGUAAUUGAUGACAAUCUCUAUGGACUAAUGGUUUCCUUGAGUUAGAUUUGAAGGUUUUGUCCAUAGGUUUUUCUUGGAGUGCAUGUGUUAAUUUCAAGGAGAGUUUGUGUCGACCAAGGUGUUAUUCAAGGAAUUAUCCAAAGAUUGGUCAUGUGAGAGUUGAGUUUAUUGCAAGCAUGUCUUGAAGAAGAAGAUUGUGUGAUUAUUCAUGUCUACCUUCAAGACAUCAUUCAAAUGAAGAGAAUUGAAAAGGUUCAAGGUUGAUCAAGACUAAGUCAAGAGUGAAUCAAAUUGAUCAACUCACAAAGCGCAGAAGAUGUACCGAGAGGGAUCAAGUGAUCCCAUGGUAUGGUAAGAAUUAUCAAUUACGCUUUGUGUACUAACCCAUGGUCUUCGUGAGAGUUCUUUGUGGGGUUAGGUUGCGGUGUGCAAGUUCAAGUGGAGCAUCACGAAGAAAUCAAAUGCUUGAAGCUUGCCGUCCUUUGUGGUGAUAAUGGACUUGUGAAGAUGUGCGGAAGAGUGGCUCACCCAUAGUGGAGUAUGGAGGAGCAAUCAACUAGUCUUCAUCGGGUCAACACAAUCAAGAAAGGUGGUCCAACUUGAGGGAGUCAAGAUUGUCAUCAUCUAGCUCAAGUGGACCAUGUGCAAGGCAAAGGUUUGCCCUUGAUAGGUUUUCUAUUUUACCGGUCUCAUGAUGGUAGUUGGGAGACCGGGUUAUAGGAUCGAUUGCCGUACUAUCAAGGGGGGCUCUCGAUGAGUAGCUUGAUCGUAUCGUUCGUAGAGAGCUCAAACCAUUGCAUACUUACAUCAUCUUUCUUGGUUCUUGUUUGGUUCUCUUUGUGAGUCUUAGAGCUUAUGGUCAUCUUGAUGACAAGCUUGAGUUCACCGAAAACGGAGUUCGCAUGCAUCUUCUAUGAUGUUUUCGUUGUUGGAGGUUUUGCCGUUCUUCUCGGUUGGAGGUUUCACUCCUCUAUUUGUUGGCAUACCUCCCCUGCCUCUUCUUACUAUAUCCAGUCGCAGUUUUGAUGCUACUCGUCGUCUUGUUUCCAACUGUUGGGGAACAUAGUAAUUUCAAAGAAAUUCCUACGCACACGCAAGAUCAUGGUGAUGCAUAGCAACGAGAGGGGAGAGUAUGAUCUACGUACCCUAGUAGAUCGACAACGGAAGCGUUAACUUGGUUGAUGUAGUCGUACGUCUUCACGGCCCGACCGAUCAAGCACCGAAACUACGGAACCUCCGAGUUCUAGCACACGUUCAGCUCGAUGACGAUCCCCGGACUCCGAUCCAGCAAGGUGUCGGGGAAGAGUUCCGUCAGCACAACGGCGUGGUGACGAUCUUGAUGUACUACCGUCGCAGGGCUUCGCCUAAGCACCGCUACAAUAUUAUCGAGGACUAUGGUGGAAGGGGGCACCGCACACGGCUAAGAAUAUGAUCACGUGGNNNNNNNNNNNNNNNNNNNNNNNNNNNNNNNNNNNNNNNNNNNNNNNNNNNNNNNNNNNNNNNNNNNNNNNNNNNNNNNNNNNNNNNNNNNNNNNNNNNNNNNNNNNNNNNNNNNNNNNNNNNNNNNNNNNNNNNNNNNNNNNNNNNNNNNNNNNNNNNNNNNNNNNNNNNNNNNNNNNNNNNNNNNNNNNNNNNNNNNNNNNNNNNNNNNNNNNNNNNNNNNNNNNNNNNNNNNNNNNNNNNNNNNNNNCCUCCCUUUCCUUGUCCAAGUAGGAGAGGGGGAAGGAGAGAAGGAAAAGGGGGGGCGCCGCCCCUCCCUCCUUGUCCAAUUCGGACUUAGGGGGAGAGGGGGCGUGCGGCCUGCCCUGGCAGCCCCUCCUCUUCUCCACUUUAGGCCCAUGAGGCCCAUUAAGCCCCGGGGGGGGGGGGUCCGGUAACCCCCGGUGCUCCGGUUUUAUCCGAAACUUCCCCGGAACACUUCCGGUGUCCGAAUAUAGCCGUCCAAUAUAUCAAUCUUUAUGUCUUGACCAUUUCGAGACUCCUCGUCAUGUCCGUGAUCACAUUCGAGACUCUGAACUAACUUCGGUACAUCAAAACUCAUAAACUCAUAAUAUAACUGUCAUCGAAACCUUAAGCGUGCGGACCCUACGGGUUCGAGAACAAUGUAGACAUGACUGAGACACGUCUCCGGUCAAUAACCAAUAGCGGAACCUGGAUGCUCAUAUUGGCUCCUACAUACUCUACGAAGAUCUUUUAUCGGUCAGACCGCAUAACAACAUACGUUGUUCCCUUUGUCAUCGGUAUGUUACUUGCCCGAGAUUCGAUCGUCGGUAUCCCAUACCUAGUUCAAUCUCGUUACCGGCAAGUCUCUUUACUCGUUCCGUAAUACAUCAUCUCACAACUAACUCAUUAGUUGCAAUGCUUGCAAGGCUUAUGUGAUGUGUAUUACCGAGAGGGCCCAGAGAUACCUCUCCGACAAUUGGAGUGACAAAUCCUAAUCUCGAAAUACGCCAACCCAACAUGUACCUUUGGAGACACCUGUAGAGCACCUUUAUAAUCACCCAUUUACGUUGUGGCGUUUGGUAGCACACAAAGUGUUCCUCCGGCAAACGGGAGUUGCAUAAUCUCAUAGUCAUAGGAACAUGUAUAAGUUAUGAAGAAAGCAAUAGCAACAUACUAAAUGAUCGGGUGCUAAGCUAAUGGAAUGGGUCAUGUCAAUCAGAUCAUUCAUCUAAUGAUGUGAUCCUGUUAAUCAAAUGACAACUCUUUGUCCAUGGUUAGGAAACAUAACCAUCUUUGAUUAACAAGCUAGUCUAGUAGAGGCAUACUAGUGACACUCUGUUUGUCUAUGUAUUCACACAUGUAUUAUGUUUCCGGUUAAUACAAUUCUAGCAUGAAUAAUAAACUUUUAUCAUGAUAUAUAAGAAAAUAAAUAAUAACUUUAUUAUUGCCUCUAGGGCAUAUUUCCUUCAGUCUCCCACUUGCACUAGAGUCAAUAAUCUAGAUUACACAGUAAUGAUUCUAACACCCAUGGAGCCUUGGUGUUGAUCAUGUUUUGCUCGUGGAAGAGGCUUAGUCAACGGGUCUGCUACAUUCAGAUCCGCAUGUAUCUUGCAAAUCUCUAUGUCUCCCACCUGGACUAGAUCCCGGAUGGAAUUGAAGCGUCUCUUGAUGUGCUUGGUUCUCUUGUGAAAUCUGGAUUCCUUUGCCAAGGCAAUUGCACCAGUAUUGUCACAAAAGAUUUUCAUUGGACCCGAUGCACUAGGUAUGACACCUAGAUCGGAUAUGAACUCCUUCAUCCAGACUCCUUCAUUCGCUGCUUCCGAAGCAGCUAUGUAUUCCGCUUCACACGUAGAUCCUGCCACGACGCUCUGUUUAGAACUGCACCAACUGACAGCUCCACCGUUUAAUGUAAACACGUAUCCGGUUUGCGAUUUAGAAUUGUCCGGAUCAGUGUCAAAGCUUGCAUCAACGUAACCGUUUACGAUGAGCUCUUUGUCACCUCCAUAUACGAGAAAUAUAUCCUUAGUCCUUUUCAGGUACUUCAGGAUGUUCUUGACCACUGUCCAGUGAUCCACUCAUGGAUUAUUUUGGUACCUCCCUGCUAGACUUAUAGCAAGGCACACAUCAGGUCUGGUACACAACAUUGCAUACAUGAUAGAGCCUAUGGCUGACGCAUAGGGAACAUCUUUCAUUUUCUCUCUAUCUUCUGCAGUGGUCGGGCAUUGAGUCUGACUCAACUUCACACCUUGUAACACAGGCAAGAAUCCUUUCUUUGCUUGAUCCAUUUUGAACUUCUUCAAAAUCUUGUCAAGGUAUGUGCUUUGUGAAAGUCCAAUUAAGCGUCUUGAUCUAUCUCUAUAGAUCUUUAUGCCUAAUAUGUAAGCAGCUUCACCGAGGUCUUUCAUUGAAAAACUCUUAUUCAAGUAUCCCUUUAUGCUAUCCAGAAAUUCUAUAUCAUUUCCAAUCAGUAAUAUAUCAUCCACAUAUAAUAUCAGAAAUGCUACAGAGCUCCCACUCACUUUCUUGUAAAUACAUGCUUCUCCAAAGGUCUGUAUAAAACCAAAUGCUUUGAUCACACUAUCAAAGCAUUUAUUCCAACUCCAAGAGGUUUGCACCAGUCCAUAAAUGGAUUGCUGGAGCUUGCACACUUUGUUAGCUCCCUUUGGAUCGACAAAACCUUCCGGUUGCAUCAUAUACAACUCUUCUUCCAGAAAUCCAUUCAAGAAUGCAGUUUUGACAUCCAUCUGCCAAAUUUCAUAAUCAUAAAAUGCGGUAAUUGCUAACAUGAUUCGGGCAGACUUAAGCAUCGCUAUGGGUGAGAAGGUCUCAUCGUAGUCAACCCCUUGAACUUGUCGAAAACUUUUUGCGACAAGUCGAGCUUUGUAGACAGUAAUAUUACCGUCAGCAUCAGUCUUCUUCUUGAAGAUCCAUUUAUUGUCAAUUGCUUGCCGAUCAUCGGGCAAGUCAACCAAAGUCCAUACUUUGUUCUCAUACAUGGAUCCCAUCUCAGAUUUCAUGGCUUCAAGCCAUUUUUCGGAAUCUGGGCUCACCAUCGCUUCUUCAUAGUUCGUAGGUUCAUCAUGAUCUAGUAGCAUGACUUCUAGAACAGGAUUACCGUACCACUCUGGCGCGGAUCUUACUCUGGUUGAUCUACGAGGUUCAGUAGUAUCUUUGUAACACCCCGGAUGUAACUUUCCAUAUUUGUAUCCAACUCUUGUCGUCUCCGACGCUAAGUUAUAUUUAUUUCUCGGGUUCGGGUCUUUGUCUCCGUGUGUUGUUUUUAUUUUUUCGUGCAUCUCUUACCAUGUCAUCUCGUGCAUUGCAUUUGCAUACAUGUUCAUCUCAUGCAUUUGAGCAUUUUCUCCGUUGUCCGUUUUGCAUUCCGGCGCUUCGUUCUCCUCCGGUGGCCAUUUCCAGCUUUCUUUCAUGUGUGGGGUUCAAACAUUUCUGGACUGGACUGAAACUUGUCAUGCGGCCUUGGUUUACUACCGGUAGACCGUCUGUCAAGUUUCGUAUCAUUUGGACUUCGUUUGAUACUCCAACGGUUAACCGAGGGACCGAAAAGGCCUCGUGUGUGUUGCAGCCCAACACCCCCCAAAUUUGGCCCAAAACCCACCAAACUCUGCUCCAUGUCCUAGAGCGUUCGAUCACGAUCGCGUGGGCAAAAACCGCACCUCAUUUGGACUCUCCUAGCUCCACUUAUGCCUAUUUAUACCCCCUCCAUUCGGAUCUCCUCUUCCCCCGUCCAAACCCUAAAAAAAAAAGAUCCAUCUUCCCCGCGCCGGGCCGGACAUGUCCGCCCGCGCCGGACGUUGUCCGCCNNNNNNNNNNNNNNNNNNNNNNNNNNNNNNNNNNNNNNNNNNNNNNNNNNNNNNNNNNNNNNNNNNNNNNNNNNNNNNNNNNNNNNNNNNNNNNNNNNNNNNNNNNNNNNNNNNNNNNNNNNNNNNNNNNNNNNNNNNNNNNNNNNNNNNNNNNNNNNNNNNNNNNNNNNNNNNNNNNNNNNNNNNNNNNNNNNNNNNNNNNNNNNNNNNNNNNNNNNNNNNNNNNNNNNNNNNNNNNNNNNNNNNNNNNNNNNNNNNNNNNNNNNNNNNNNNNNNNNNNNNNNNNNNNNNNNNNNNNNNNNNNNNNNNNNNNNNNNNNNNNNNNNNNNNNNNNNNNNNNNNNNNNNNNNNNNNNNNNNNNNNNNNNNNNNNNNNNNNNNNNNNNNNNNNNNNNNNNNNNNNNNNNNNNNNNNNNNNNNNNNNNNNNNNNNNNNNNNNNNNNNNNNNNNNNNNNNNNNNNNNNNNNNNNNNNNNNNNNNNNNNNNNNNNNNNNNNNNNNNNNNNNNNNNNNNNNNNNNNNNNNNNNNNNNNNNNNNNNNNNNNNNNNNNNNNNNNNNNNNNNNNNNNNNNNNNNNNNNNNNNNNNNNNNNNNNNNNNNNNNNNNNNNNNNNNNNNNNNNNNNNNNNNNNNNNNNNNNNNNNNNNNNNNNNNNNNNNNNNNNNNNNNNNNNNNNNNNNNNNNNNNNNNNNNNNNNNNNNNNNNNNNNNNNNNNNNNNNNNNNNNNNNNNNNNNNNNNNNNNNNNNNNNNNNNNNNNNNNNNNNNNNNNNNNNNNNNNNNNNNNNNNNNNNNNNNNNNNNNNNNNNNNNNNNNNNNNNNNNNNNNNNNNNNNNNNNNNNNNNNNNNNNNNNNNNNNNNNNNNNNNNNNNNNNNNNNNNNNNNNNNNNNNNNNNNNNNNNNNNNNNNNNNNNNNNNNNNNNNNNNNNNNNNNNNNNNNNNNNNNNNNNNNNNNNNNNNNNNNNNNNNNNNNNNNNNNNNNNNNNNNNNNNNNNNNNNNNNNNNNNNNNNNNNNNNNNNNNNNNNNNNNNNNNNNNNNNNNNNNNNNNNNNNNNNNNNNNNNNNNNNNNNNNNNNNNNNNNNNNNNNNNNNNNNNNNNNNNNNNNNNNNNNNNNNNNNNNNNNNNNNNNNNNNNNNNNNNNNNNNNNNNNNNNNNNNNNNNNNNNNNNNNNNNNNNNNNNNNNNNNNNNNNNNNNNNNNNNNNNNNNNNNNNNNNNNNNNNNNNNNNNNNNNNNNNNNNNNNNNNNNNNNNNNNNNNNNNNNNCCCCGACCGGCGUCCGUGUCUCCGGCGAGCUCCGACUCCGGCUGCUACAGUGUCUCCGGCGCCGCCUCGGGAAGCGUGCCGAUCCAGAUCUGGAUCUGGGCAUCGGUUGACUUUUUCCCCAAACCCUAGUUCAUGAUGCAUUCUUUGACUGCCCGUAACUUUGCACCCGUAGCUCCGAUUUGGGCAUAUGAUAUAUCAAAAUCUUCGCCUCGACAUGUACAUCAUUUCAUUCCAUUGCAUCAUUUGCAUUUGAGGUCAUCUUGUUGCCCUAAAUGCUGUUAGAAGGAGGCUUCGUGAGUUAAAUUGCAGAUCCGUUAGUUCAUCAUGCACUUUUGUCAUUUUUUCCAUGUUUAAUCCGUGCAUGAUAUGCCUGUGCCCCUUUGGGAUGAAUUGUUAAGCAUUUUGUCUUCUUUCCAGAAGUGCCACCCAUGCAUUUUUAGGAUGUGUGUGUUGUCUUGUGCAAGCUUGCGAAGAGAGGUACCUGAGAUUGCUGAUUUCAGAGACUUAGUGAUUUUCACUAAGUCUGGGAUAUUUUAGUUCAUGAUGCUAUAUGUCCAGCUUGUUUCCUAGUGAUCCGUGCCUCUUUUGAGGAUGAUCAGUAAGGGAGUUUUGAUAUUUAUGUUUUGCUCUAUCCAUCCAUGUCUUUGUUUGCAUAUUUGGAGUGCUCUAGGUUGACUUAAUCGAGCUCAACUUUUGCUUCGUUGUUAAUCUGGGCAGAUCGUCAACUUGUUUGCGAUUUUGCCGAUGCUACCGUUAGUGUCCCAUGCAUGCUAUGCCUUUGUUCUUGCCUUGUGUAGCUAGAAUAUUGUGUCUUCUUUCUAGAUAUAUGCUUGCCUUUCCAUGACUUGCACCGUAGUGAGUGCAUCGAGCUCGUUUACAUGCCUUCGUGAGUUAUAAUUUCAGCAUGUCUCAGUUUUCACUAAGUCUGCAAACUGAUUGUGUUCGAGCUAUGUUCGUGAGCUCGGUAGAGUAUCUUGUGAACCCUUUUGGCCCCAGGUCACUUUGGGUGUUUUGUUAAGCUUGUUGAGUAGCUCCAUGCCAUGUUCUUACUUGUCAUGUUCAGGUCAUUUAUCAGGUUGUUUUGCUGCUCCAAAGGGAGCAUCGUGAUCUGAAAUUUCAGGCUGGUGUUAAUUUCACUAAGUCUGGAAUCUGUUUUGCAUAUUCAUUUUUACCAUGCUUGUUUGAACCUCCUAAUGGAUGAAAUUGCCUAUGGCUCAGUGCUAGUGUUUUGUUAACCAUCUUGUGUACAUCACUGCCAUGUAUUUUGUUUUCAUGUUUGGUGGCUGUAGCAUGUUCAUUUCGUUGCAUUUAGAUGCCUACUUGCUGUAAAUCGCAGACCGGUGUCAUAUCUUAAAACGCUUGCCAUUUCCAAACCGUAGCUCCGAUUCCAAUGAUCUUUAUAUCGUUUUCAAGCGAUUUCAUCCCCUCUAUCCAGUGGCACCCUUGGAAUUCCAAGUUGAGGCCAGGUUCAUGCAUUUCCUGUCAUAUCUUGCAUUUUGCAUCCCGCAUCGCAUCCCGCAUAGCAUAUCAUCAUUUCAUCGUAUUGCUUGGUCUUGCACGUGGUUGAUUGUAUCCUUGUUGCUUGUUUGUCUUGUUUGGGUAGAGCCGGGAGACGAGUUUGCUACCGAGGAGCCCGUUGAGUUUGCUUGUGAGGAUCCAGUCAGCUCUGACAACUGUGCAGGCAAGAUGAUCAUACCCUCGAAAUCACUACUAUCUUUGCUAUGCUAGUUUGCUCGCUCUUUUGCUUUGCCACUGCUACGAUGCCUACCUUUUGCUUGUCAGCCUCCCAAUUGCAUGAUUGAACCUCUAACCCACCAUUGUCCUAGCAAACCGUUGAUUGGCUAUGUUACCGCUUUGCUCAGCCCUUCUUAUAGCGUUGUUAGCUGCAGGUGAAGAUUGGAGCCGUUCCUUGUUGGGACAUUUAUUUUACUUGUUGGGAUAUCAUUAUAUUGCUAUGUUAUCUUAAUGCAUCUAUAUACUUGGUAAAGGGUGGAAGGCUCGGCCUCUCGCCUAGUGUUUUGUUNNNNNNNNNNCGAGUCUGAUCGGUGUGUCCCGGGUGGAGGUCUAUUCCUUCGUUGACCGUGAGAGCUUGUCAUGGGCUAAGUUGGGACUCCCCUGCAGGGAUUGAACUUUCGAAAGCCGUGCCCGCGGUUAUGGGCAGAUGGGAAUUUGUUAAUGUCUGGUUGUAGAUUACUUGAACUAAACUUAAUUAAAAUGAAUCAACCGUGUGUGUUACCGUGAUGGCCCCUUCUCGGCGGAGUCCGGGAAGUGGACACGGUGUUGGAGUUAUGCUUGCGCAGGAUGUUCCUUUAGCUUCUCGCUCGUGCUUCGCCUUCUCUUCUCGCUCUCUUUUGCGUAUAAGUUAGCCACCACAUAUGCUAGUCGCUUGCUGCAGCUCCACAUAUACUUGCCUUAUCCUAUCCUAUAAGCUUAAAUAGUCUUGAUAGCGUGGGUGUGAGAUUGCUGAGUCCCCGUGGCUCACAGAUACUACAACUCCAGAUGCAGGUCCAGGUGAUUCNNNNNNNNNNGACGAGUACGAGCUCAAGUGGGAGUUCGACGAGGACUCUCAGCGUUAUUAUGUUUCCUUUCCCGAUGAUCAGUAGUGGUGCCUAGUUGGGGAUCGAUUCAGGGCCUUGUCGCAUGUUGGGUUCUUUUCUAUUUUGGCGCCGUAGUCGGGCCAUGAGUGUUUGUUUGAUGGAUGUUAUUUAUGUACUCUGAUGUGACGUGGCGAGUGUAAGCCAACUAUGUUAUCUCCCCCUUUUAUUAUGUAUUACAUGGGAUGUUGUAAUGAUUGCCUGACUUGCGACAUUGCUUUCAAUGCGGUUAUGUCUCUAAGUCGUGCCACGACACGUGGGAGCUAUAGCCGCAUCGAGGGCGUUACAAGUUGGUAAUCAGAGCCUUCCCCGACCUUAGGAGCCCCCAUUGCUUGAUCGUUUUUAGCAGCCGAGUUGUGUCUAGAAAAAUGUUUUGAGUCCUUAGGAAUUAUAUAUCGGAGAGCUUAGGAAUUCUUUUUACUUCCCAGCCUCCUCAUCGCUCUGGUAAGGCAUCCUGGCGUAGAGUUUUGACUCUUCUCUUCUCAAAUUUCACUAAAUUUUUUUUUAGGAUCACGCGAGUAUCUUGGUUUUGUUCCGAUGGUUUUGUGACGAGAACAUUGUUCUUGGUGCCUCCUGUCUUUAGGGGUUGUGGCAGUGUCCCGGGGAGUUGAGCUCCGAGGUGUUGUCGUCACAAUUUUAUCGUUGCAAUUCUGGUAUACUUGAGAUAUGUGCGCGACAUCGGAAAUCUCUUUUAUGCAGUUUGUUGGUGAGAUAACCUCGACGCCACCCAGUACUGGGGCGGGAGUUCAGGAGUAUCGCCAUAACUUGUAUAACGGAUGCUUUUCGAAGGUUGAGGUAGAUGGUUUCCGAAGUUUUCUUGGUUAUGUGUUGAAGGAUGGAUACAGCUGGAUGUAGGAUUUGCUAGUUUGGGUGAGAUAUUAUGCUUCCCCUGUAUCCCCAACACCUGAUUGCAUAACCGGAAAGGUUCGGGAGUUUCAUAGGUGGGAAUUCUAGUAGCUCUAGUUCUUCUUCCACGGAUAUUGGUUUGAGAUUGGGAUUUCUUACCGAUUAUUCGUUCUUGAUCCGUACCUUGUUGAAUUGUUUCUCUACCUUAAUUCUACGUGGCUUCUCAAUUUAUGGAUAUGUGACCAUUUGAAGAGGAAUGCAUUCGUUCAUUUUGUUCGGAUGUGAAGACUAUAUGUUGCAAUUUUCAUUCCGUUGGAUUCAGCUUCUAUAUUGUUGUCUAUCAAUGUGCUAAUGGUGGUCAACCUCUUCAGGAUGGCUCCUCCAACGCGCACGACUCCGAAUCCUGAUCCGCCUCCACCUCCGCUUCCUCCGAAAGCAUGGCAAGCUGUGAUGGCCGCUACUAAUGCAAACACACAGUUGAUCAUGCAAAUUCUCCAAGAGCGCAAUCAAGGCAGUCAAGGGAAUCAAGGCAACAAUCAGCACCACUUUGCUACACUAAACCAGUUCCUUGCGAAUGGUCCAAAGACGUUCAGCGGUUGUGUUGAGGCUACCGAUGCUGACGAUUGGCUAGUGGAUCUGGGCAAGCAUUUUGAAUGCAGCAACGUCAGGCCUGAAGAUUUCGUCAAGUUCGCUUCUUUCCAGCUCAAAGAUCAGGCUGCAGAGUGGUUCCAGCAGUACAAGGAUUCCAGAGGUGGACGUUUGAUCACUUGGGAUGAUUUCCGUCAAGAUUUCCGCGCUCAUCACAUCCCUCAAAGUGUGGUUGAGAGUAAGCGUCAGGAAUUCCGCAAUCUGAAGCAAGGGUCUUUGUCUGUCUACGACUACAACAAAUUGUUCCAGAAGCUCGCCCGUUUUGCCAAGCAGGAUGUUCCUGAUGAGAAGAGCAUGAUCUAUCAGUUCAGGGGUGGUCUUCGUGAGGAAAUUCAGCUCGCUCUUGUCCUCUUUGAGCCGUUGAGAUACGAUGAGUUCUACAACAUGGCACUGAAGCAAGAGGCUGCUCAGUUGAGGUGUGAUGCUUCCAGGAAGCGUGCCAGAGAUGUUACUCUGUCUUCCUCUACUCAAGUGGCCAAGCAGCAGAAGUUUUGGCUUCCUCCUCCUCCGUUCCGUCAGCCGUAUCAGCAGAAGAGCAAAGGUGGCAGUGGUUCUUCCCACCCACCCAACCCAGGCUUUCAGAACAAAACUUCGUCUCAAGCUCCAAGAUCGAGUGCUCCGUAUCACCGUCCGCUUUCAGAGGUCACGUGCAACAAGUGCCAACAGAAGGGUCACUAUGCCAACAAGUGUACCAACCAGAGGCGUCUUCCUCCUCCUCCUCCUAUCAGAUCGGCAAGUACAGCUGUGGUCAAGCAUAAUCCCAAGCACGCCAAGGUCAAUUUGAUGAAUGCAGCCCAGGCAGAGGACUCGUUAGAUGUGAUCAUGGGUAACCUUCCUGUUAAUGAUAUUCCUGCAAAAGUUCUUUUUGACUCUGGUGCAUCGCAUUCCUUCAUGUCAUUUCCAUUUGCAUCGGAGAACAAUUUUAGCACUAAGGCAUUACCUAGAGCUAUGCAAGUCGUCUCUCCAGCUAAGCGACUGAGUUCCAGUAUGGAGGUGCCGGAUAUUUCAAUCUUGAUGGGUGAUUUCAAGUUUCUUGCUUCUCCAAUGGUUCUUGGCAACUCUGAUAUUGAUCUUAUUCUGGGGAUGGAUUGGCUUUCUAAGAAUAAAGCUCAGCUUGAUUGUGCAGCCAGGCAGAUUCAACUGACUCAUUCGUUUGAGGAUGUCAUUGUCUUUGCCGCUCAGGAUAAUACCAUCCGGUUGUUUUCUCUCAAUGAGAAGGGUGAAUUGGAUGCCAUCUCUCAAAUUCCUGUCGUUUGUGAGUAUCAAGACGUCUUUCCAGAAGAGCUCCCAGGAAUGCCUCCGCACCGGCCAGUUGAAUCCGUUAUUGAACUUGAGCCUGGCACGGAACCUGUGUGCAAACGUCCUUACAAGCUCGGCCCCGAAGAGUUGAAGGAGUUGAAGAAACAACUCGAUGAGCAAGAAAUAUUGGGUCUCAUUCGGCCUAGUACUUCUCCGUGGGGUUGUGGUGUUCUUUUUGUGAAGAAGAAGGAUGGAUCGAGUCGACUUUGUGUUGAUUACCGUCCAGUAAACAAGAAGACCAUCAAGAACAAAUACCCACUUCCCAACAUCAAUGAGCUGUUCGAACUGAAGGAAAUAUGCCCUAGAGGCAAUAAUAAAGUUAUUAUUUAUUUCCUUAUAAUCAUGAUAAAUGUUUAUUAUUCAUGCUAGAAUUGUAUUUACCGGAAACAUAAUACAUGUGUGAAUACAUAGACAAACAGAGUGUCACUAGUAUGCCUCUACUUGACUAGCUCGUUAAUCAAAGAUGGUUAUGUUUCCUAACCAUGAACAAUGAGUUGUUAUUUGAUUAACGAGGUCACAUCAUUAGUAGAAUGAUCUGAUUGACAUGACCCAUUCCAUUAGCUUAGCACCCGAUCGUUUAGUAUGUUGCUAUUGCUUUCUUCAUGACUUAUACAUGUUCCUAUGACUAUGAGAUUAUGCAACUCCCGUUUACCGGAGGAACACUUUGGGUACUACCAAACGUCAGAACGUAACUGGGUGAUUAUAAAGGAGUACUAUAGGUGUCUCCAAUGGUCGAUGUUGGGUUGGCGUAUUUCGAGAUUAGGAUUUGUCACUCCGAUUGUCGGAGAGGUAUCUCUGGGCCCUCUCGGUAAUACACAUCACAUAAGCCUUGCAAGCAUUACAACUAAUAUGUUAGUUGUGAGAUGAUGUAUUACGGAACGAGUAAAGAGACUUGCCGGUAACGAGAUUGAACUAGGUAUUGGAUACCGACGAUCGAAUCUCGGGCAAGUAACAUACCGAUGACAAAGGGAACAACGUAUGUUGUUAUGCGGUCUGACCGAUAAAGAUCUUCGUAGAAUAUGUAGGAGCCAAUAUGGGCAUCCAGGUCCCGCUAUUGGUUAUUGACCAGAGACGUGUCUCGGUCAUGUCUACAUUGUUCUCGAACCCGUAGGGUCCGCACGCUUAAGGUUACGAUGACAGUUAUAUUAUGAGUUUAUGCAUUUUGAUGUACCGAAGGUUGUUCGGAGUCCCGGAUGUGAUCACGGACAUGACGAGGAGUCUCGAAAUGAUCGAGACAUAAAGAUUGAUAUAUUGGAAGUCUAUGUUUGGACAUCGGAAGUGUUCCGGGUGAAAUCGGGAUUUUACCGGGUUACCGGGAGGUUACCGGAACCCCCCGGGAACCAUAUGGGCCUUCAUGGGCCUUAGUGGAAAGGUGAAAGGGCUGCCCACCAGGGCUGCGCGCCUCCCCCUUCCCCUAGUCCUAUUAGGACUAGGAGAGGUGGCCGGCCACCCUUCUCCUCUUUCCCCCUUUGGGGAUUCCUAGUUGGAAUAGGAUUGGAGGGGAGUCCUACUCCCGGUAGGAGUAGGACUCCUCCUGCGCCACCUCCUCCUGGCCGGCGCCUCCUCCCCCCCUUGGCUCCUUUAUAUACUGAGGUAGAGGCACCUCUAAACACACAAGUUGACACAAGUUGAUCCACGUGAUCGAUUCCUUAGCCGUGUGCGGUGCCCCCUGCCACCAUAUUCCUCGAUAAUACUGUAGCGGAGUUUAGGCGAAGCCCUGCUGCUGUAGUUCAUCAAGAUCGUCACCACGCCGUCGUGCUGACGGAACUCUUCCCCGACACUUUGCUGGAUCGGAGUCCGGGGAUCGUCAUCGAGCUGAACGUGUGCUCGAACUCGGAGGUGCCGUAGUUUCGGUGCUUGAUCGGUUGGAUCGUGAAGACGUACGACUACUUCCUCUACGUCGUGUCAUCGCUUCCGCAGUCGGUCUGCGUUGGGUACGUAGACAACACUCUCCUCUCGUUGCUAUGCAUCACAUGAUCCUGUGUGCGCGUAGGAAAUUUUUUGAAAUUACUACGAAACCCAAGACAUGAUCUCCAUCAUCAUGAUCUCCAUCAUCGUGUCUUCAUGAAGUUGUCACGCCAACGACUACUUCUACUUCUAUGACUAACGUUUAGCAAUAAAGUAAAGUAGUUUACAUGGCGUUAUUCAAUGACACGCAGGUCAUACAAAAAAAUAAUGACAACUCCUAUGGCUCCUGCCGGUUGUCAUACUCAUCGACAUGCAAGUCGUGAAUCCUAUUACAAAGAACAUGAUCUCAUACAUCACAAUUCAUCAUUCAUCACAACUUCUGGCCAUAUCACAUCACAUGAUCAAUCGCUGCAAAAACAAGUUAGACGUCCUCUAAUUGUUGUUGCAUCUUUUACGUGGCUGCAAUUGGGUUCUAGCAAGAACGUUUUCUUACCUACGAAUUACCACAACGUGAUUUUGUCAACUUCUAUUUACCCUUCAUAAGGGCCCUGUUCAUCGAUUCCGCUCCAACUAAGGUGGGAGAGACAGACACCCGCCAGCCACCUUAUGCAACUUGUGCAUGUCAGUCGGUGGAACCGGUCUCACGUAAGCGUACGUGUAAGGUUGGUCCGGGCCGCUUCAUCCCACAAUACCGUUGAGCAAGAAAAGACUAGUAGAGGCAAGUAAGAUGACAAAAUCCACGCCCACAACAAAAUUGUGUUCUACUCGUGCAAAGAGAACUACGCAUAGACCUAGCUCAUGAUGCCACUGUUGGGGAACGUUGCAGAAAAUUAAAAAAUUUCCUACGGUUUCACCAAGAUCCAUCUAUGAGUUCAUCUAAGCAACGAGUCAAGGGAGAGAGUUUGCAUCUACAUACCACUUGUAGAUCGCGUGCGGAAGCUUGCAAGGUGAUGAUGGAGUCGUACUCGACGUGAUUCGAAUCACCGAUGACCAAGUGCUGAACGGACAGCACCUCCGCGUUCAACACACGUACGGGACGGGAGACGUCUCCUCCUUCUUGAUCCAGCAAGGGGAAGGAGAGGUUGAGGAAGACAGCUCCACCGGCAGCACGACGGCGUGGUGAUGGUGGAGAGGCAGUACUCCGACAGGGCUUCGCCAAGCACACAACGGAGGAGGAGAGGUGUUGGGGAGGGGAGGGCUGCGCCUUGGAGGGUGGUGCGGCUGCCCUCCCCUCACCCCUCUAUUUAUAGGGGGAAGGGAGAAGGGGGCCGACCCCUCUAGAACCCAUCUAGGGGGGGGGGGCGGCCAAGGGGAGAGGGGGAGAGGUGAAGGAAAUAUGCCCUAGAGGCAAUAAUAAAGUUAUUAUUUAUUUCCUUAUAAUCAUGAUAAAUGUUUAUUAUUCAUGCUAGAAUUGUAUUUACCGGAAACAUAAUACAUGUGUGAAUACAUAGACAAACAGAGUGUCACUAGUAUGCCUCUACUUGACUAGCUCGUUAAUCAAAGAUGGUUAUGUUUCCUAACCAUGAACAAUGAGUUGUUAUUUGAUUAACGAGGUCACAUCAUUAGUAGAAUGAUCUGAUUGACAUGACCCAUUCCAUUAGCUUAGCACCCGAUCGUUUAGUAUGUUGCUAUUGCUUUCUUCAUGACUUAUACAUGUUCCUAUGACUAUGAGAUUAUGCAACUCCCGUUUACCGGAGGAACACUUUGGGUACUACCAAACGUCACAACGUAACUGGGUGAUUAUAAAGGAGUACUACAGGUGUCUCCAAUGGUCGAUGUUGGGUUGGCGUAUUUCGAGAUUAGGAUAUGUCACUCCGAUUGUCGGAGAGGUAUCUCUGGGCCCUCUCGGUAAUACACAUCACAUAAGCCUUGCAAGCAUUACAACUAAUAUGUUAGUUGUGAGAUGAUGUAUUACGGAACGAGUAAAGAGACUUGCCGGUAACGAGAUUGAACUAGGUAUUGGAUACCGACGAUCGAAUCUCGGGCAAGUAACAUACCGAUGACAAAGGGAACAACGUAUGUUGUUAUGCGGUCUGACCGAUAAAGAUCUUCGUAGAAUAUGUAGGAGCCAAUAUGGGCAUCCAGGUCCCGCUAUUGGUUAUUGACCAGAGACGUGUCUCGGUCAUGUCUACAUUGUUCUCGAACCCGUAGGGUCCGCACGCUUAAGGUUACGAUGACAGUUAUAUUAUGAGUUUAUGCAUUUUGAUGUACCGAAGGUUGUUCGGAGUCCCGUAUGUGAUCACGGACAUGACGAGGAGUCUCGAAAUGGUCGAGACGUAAAGAUUGAUAUAUUGGAAGCCUAUAUUUGGAUAUCGGAAGUGUUCCGGGUGAAAUCGGGAUUUUACCGGAAUACCGGGAGGGUUACCGGAACCCCCCGGGAGCUAUUUGGGCCAUAGUGGGCCUUAGUGGAAAAGAGAAGGGGCUGCCCUAGAUGGGCUGCGCCCCCCCCCUUCCCCUAGUCCUAUUAGGACUAGGAGAGGUGGCCGGCCCCCUCCUCCUCUUUUCCCCUCCGAGGAAUCCUAGUUGGACUAGGAUUGGAGGGGGAAUCCUACUCCCAGUGGGAGUAGGACUCUCCUGCGCCUCCCCCCCUUGGCCGGCCAGCCUCCCCUCCUCUCCUCCUUUAUAUACGGAGGCAGGGGCACCUCUAAACACACAAGUUGACACAAGUUGAUCCACGUGAUCGAUUCCUUAGCCGUGUGCGGUGCCCCCUGCUACCAUAUUCCUCGAUAAUACUGUAGCGGAGUUUAGGUGAAGCCCUGCUGCUGUAGUUCAUCAAGAUCGUCACCACGCCGUCGUGCUGACGAAACUCUUCCCCGACACUUUGCUGGAUCGGAGUCCGGGGAUCGUCAUCGAGCUGAACGUGUGCUCGAACUCGGAGGUGCCGUAGUUUCGGUGCUUGAUCGGUUGGAUCGUGAAGACGUACGACUACUUCCUCUACGUCGUAUCAUCGCUUCUGCAGUCGGUCUGCGUUGGGUACGUAGACAACACUCUCCUCUCGUUGCUAUGCAUCACAUGAUCCUGUGUGCGCGUAGGAAAAUUUUUGAAAUUACUACGAAACCCAACACGAACAACUCAAGGGUGCUCAAGUAUUCUCCAAGCUCGAUCUCCGUAUGGGUUAUCAUCAGAUUCGUAUUCGUGAGCAAGAUAUUCCCAAGACGGCGUUCAGAACAAGCUUUGGUUCAUAUGAAUACACCGUCAUGUCUUUUGGCCUCGCCAACGCUCCUUCGACGUUCUCUCGCAUGAUGAACUUCAUCUUCAGCCCCUACACCAAUGACUUUGUUUUGGUCUAUCUCGACGACAUUCUGGUUUUCUCGAAGAACAAGGAAGAUCAUGCCAAGCACUUGCGUUUGGUUCUUGACAAGCUCAGAGAACAUCAGUUCUACGCCAAGUUCUCCAAGUGUGAAUUUUGGCUCGAUGAAGUUCUUUAUCUUGGUCAUGUCAUCUCUGCCAAGGGCAUUUCCGUGAAUCCUGAGAAGGUGUCUGCAAUUGUGAAUUGGGAACCUCCUCAGAACGUAAAGCAACUCCGCAGUUUCCUCGGUCUCGCAAGCUAUUGCCGAAGAUUCGUUGAAAACUUUUCUAAGAUCGCCAAGCCUCUCUCAAAUCUUCUUCAGAAGCAUGUCAAGUACGUUUGGUCUCCGGAGUGUGAUAUUGCUUUCAACACUUUGAAAGAGAAAUUGAUCACUGCUCCAGUUCUGACUCCGCCUGAUGAAACCAAGUCGUACGAGGUCUUUUGUGAUGCCUCUCUCCAAGGUCUUGGCGCAGUUUUGAUGCAAGAGAAGAAAGUUGUUGCUUAUACAUCUCGCCAGUUGAAGCCUAAUGAGAAGAACUACCCCACUCAUGAUCUCGAGUUGGCGGCAGUUGUGCACGCUUUGUUGACUUGGAGACAUCUUCUAUUGGGAAGAAAAGUGGACAUUUUCACUGAUCACAAGAGUCUCAAGUACAUCUUCUCUCAGCCUAAUCUCAACCUCAGGCAGACUCGAUGGGUCGAGAUGAUUCAAGAGUACAAUCCGAGUAUCGAGUAUACUCCAGGCAAGGCCAAUGUGAUUGCUGACGCUUUGAGCAGAAAAGCAUAUUGCAACAGUCUGAUUCUCAAGCCUUAUCAACCCGAGAUUUGUGAAGCUUUCCGCAAACUUAAUCUGCAAAUUGUUCCUCAAGGUUUCCUCGCCAACCUUCGAGUUUUUCCUACCUUGGGAGACCAGAUUCGCCAAGCCCAGCUUCUUGAUGAUAUGGUGAAGAAGGUGAAGAUUGGUAUUACAAAGAGUCAGUCCAAGUACAAGUGCUACCGCCUUGAUGACAAGGACACUCUCUUCUUCGAGGAUCGUAUUGUUGUGCCCAAAGGUGAACUUCGUAAAGUGGUCAUGAACGAGGCUCACAACUCUCUCCUCUCCAUCCACCCUGGUAGUACGAAGAUGUAUCAGGAUCUCAAGCAAGCUUAUUGGUGGACUCGAAUGAAGCGCGAGAUCGCUCAAUUCGUGAAUGAAUGUGAUGUCUAUAGAAGAGUGAAGGCAGAACACCAAAGGCCAGCAGGUCUCCUCCAACCUCUUGCCAUUCCAGAAUGGAAGUUUGACCACAUUGAAAUGGACUUCGUGACUGGGUUUCCAAAGUCCAAGCGUGGCAAUGAUGCUAUAUUUGUUGUCAUCGACAAGCUCACCAAAGUGGCUCACUUUCUGCCUAUCAAAGAGUCGAUCACUGCAGCUCAAUUGGCGGAACUCUAUACCUCUCGCGUUGUCUCUCUGCACGGUAUUCCUCAAGUGAUAUCUUCAGACCGUGGCAGCAUUUUUACCUCCAAGUUUUGGGAUUCUUUUCAGAAGGCCAUGGGCACCAACAUCCGCUUCAGCAUAGCUUUCCAUCCUCAAACGAGCGGUCAAGUCGAGCGUGUCAAUCAGAUUCUUGAAGAUAUGCUCAGGGCUUGUGUGAUCUCCUUCGGCAUGAAGUGGGAGGGCUGUCUUCCUUAUGCUGAAUUCUCAUACAACAACAACUUUCAAGCAAGUUCGGGCAAGGCCCCUUUUGAAAUUCUGUAUGGCAGGAAGUGCCGUACCCCUCUCAACUGGUCUGAAACCGGUGAACGUCAGCUGCUGGGUAAUGACUUAAUCACAGAAGCAGAAGAAAUGUGUAAAGUCAUUCGUGAUAACCUCAAAGCGGCCCAAUCCCGCCAGAAGAGCUACUAUGAUAGUAAGCACCGUGUUUUGGCUUUCGAGAUCGGAGAUCAUGUUUACCUCCACGUCUCUCCUAUGAAAGGCACUCGUCGCUUCGGUAUCAAAGGGAAGCUUGCCCCUAGAUACGUGGGACCUUUCAAGAUUGUCAGCAAGAGAGGCGACCUCGCCUAUCAACUUGAGCUUCCUUCAAACUUUGCAAAUGUUCAUGAUGUGUUCCAUGUCUCUCAGCUUCGAAAGUGCUUCAAGACUCCUGACCGCACCGUCAACUUCGAGGACAUUGAGCUCCAAGAAGAUCUCUCCUAUCGUGAGCACCCAGUUGCUAUUCUUGAAGAGACUGAACGCAAGACUCGCAACAAGUCAAUCAAAUUUCUCAAAAUCAAGUGGUCUCACCAUUCCGACCGUGAAGCUACCUGGGAAUGCGAGGAUCACCUCCGUUCUGAGUACCCGGAGUUCUUUCAGUCCUAGAUCUCGGGACGAGAUCUUUUCGUAGUGGUGGAGUGUUGUAACACCCCGGAUGUAACUUUCCAUAUUUGUAUCCAACUCUUGCCGUCUCCGACGCUAAGUUAUAUUUAUUUCUCGGGUUCGGGUCUUUGUCUCCGUGUGUUGUUUUUAUUUUUUCGUGCAUCUCUUACCAUGUCAUCUCGUGCAUUGCAUUUGCAUACAUGUUCAUCUCAUGCAUUUGAGCAUUUUCUCCGUUGUCCGUUUUGCAUUCCGGCGCUUCGUUCUCCUCCGGUGGCCAUUUCCAGCUUUCUUUCAUGUGUGGGGUUUAAACAUUUCCGGACUGGACUGAAACUUGUCAUGCGGCCUUGGUUUACUACCGGUAGACCGCCUGUCAAGUUUCGUAUCAUUUGGACUUCGUUUGAUACUCCAACGGUUAACCGAGGGACCGAAAAGGCCUCGUGUGUGUUGCAGCCCAACACCCCCCAAAUUUGGCCCAAAACCCACCAAACUCUGCUCCAUGUCCUAGAGCGUUCGAUCACGAUCGCGUGGGCGAAAACCGCACCUCAUUUGGACUCUCCUAGCUCCACUUAUGCCUAUUUAUACCCCCUCCAUUCGGAUCUCCUCUUCCCCCGUCCAAACCCUAAAAAAAAGAUCCAUCUUCCCCGCGCCGGGCCGGACGUGUCCGCCCGCGCCGGACGUUGUCUGCCCCGCUGCCGCAGCGAAUCCCGCGCCGCCACGUGGGGGCGCGCCCACUUCGNNNNNNNNNNNNNNNNNNNNNNNNNNNNNNNNNNNNNNNNNNNNNNNNNNNNNNNNNNNNNNNNNNNNNNNNNNNNNNNNNNNNNNNNNNNNNNNNNNNNNNNNNNNNNNNNNNNNNNNNNNNNNNNNNNNNNNNNNNNNNNNNNNNNNNNNNNNNNNNNNNNNNNNNNNNNNNNNNNNNNNNNNNNNNNNNNNNNNNNNNNNNNNNNNNNNNNNNNNNNNNNNNNNNNNNNNNNNNNNNNNNNNNNNNNNNNNNNNNNNNNNNNNNNNNNNNNNNNNNNNNNNNNNNNNNNNNNNNNNNNNNNNNNNNNNNNNNNNNNNNNNNNNNNNNNNNNNNNNNNNNNNNNNNNNNNNNNNNNNNNNNNNNNNNNNNNNNNNNNNGGCUCCCCUCGCCGCCCGGGAGCACCCACGCCGCGCCGCCCGCCUCCACGCCGGCGCCGCCCCGGCAGCCUCCUCCCCGACCGGCGUCCGUGUCUCCGGCGAGCUCCGACUCCGGCUGCUACAGUGUCUCCGGUGCCGCCUCGGGAAGCGUGCCGAUCCAGAUCUGGAUCUGGGCAUCGGUUGACUUUUUCCCCAAACCCUAGUUCAUGAUGCAUUCUUUGACUGCCCGUAACUUUGCACCCGUAGCUCCGAUUUGGGCAUAUGAUAUAUCAAAAUCUUCGCCUCGACAUGUACAUCAUUUCAUUCCAUUGCAUCAUUUGCAUUUGAGGUCAUCUUGUUGCCCUAAAUGCUGUUAGAAGGAGGCUUCGUGAGUUAAAUUGCAGAUCCGUUAGUUCAUCAUGCACUUUUGUCAUUUUUGCCAUGUUUAAUCUGUGCAUGAUAUGCCUGUGCCCCUUUGGGAUGAAUUGUUAAGCAUUUUGUCUUCUUUACAAAAGUGCCACCCAUGCAUUUUUAGGAUGUGUGUGUUGUCUUGUGCAAGCUUGCGAAGAGAGGUACCUGAGAUUGCUGAUUUCAGGGACUUAGUGAUUUUCACUAAGUCUGGGAUAUUUUAGUUCAUGAUGCUAUAUGUCCAGCUUGUUUCCUAGUGAUCCGUGCCUCUUUUGAGGAUGACCAGUAAGGGAGUUUUGAUAUUUAUGUUUUGCUCUAUCCAUACAUGUCUUUGUUUGCAUAUUUGGAGUGCUCUAGGUUGACUUAAUCGAGCUCAACUUUUGCUUCGUUGUUAAUCUGGGCAGAUCGUCAACUUGUUUGCGAUUUUGCCGAUGCUACCGUUAGUGUCCCAUGCAUGCUAUGCCUUUGUUCUUGCCUUGUGUAGCUAGCAUAUUGUGUCUUCUUUCUAGAUAUAUGCUUGCCUUUCCAUGACUUGCACCGUAGUGAGUGCAUCGAGCUCGUUUACAUGCCUUCGUGAGUUAUAAUUUCAGCAUGUCUCAGUUUUCACUAAGUCUGCAAACUGAUUGUGUUCGAGCUAUGUUCGUGAGCUCGGUAGAGUAUCUUGUGAACCCUUUUGGCCCCAGGUCACUUUGGGUGUUUUGUUAAGCUUGUUGAGUAGCUCCAUGCCAUGUUCUUACUUGUCAUGUUCAGGUCAUUUAUCAGGUUGUUUUUCUGCUCCAAAGGGAGCAUCGUGAUCUGAAAUUUCAGGCUGGUGUUAAUUUCACUAAGUCUGGAAUCUGUUUUGCAUAUUCAUUUUUACCAUGCUUGUUUGAACCUCCUAAUGGAUGAAAUUGCCUAUGGCUCAGUGCUAGUGUUUUGUUAACCAUCUUGUGUACAUCACUGCCAUGUAUUUUGUUUUCAUGUUUGGUGGCUGUAGCAUGUUCAUUUCGUUGCAUUUAGAUGCCUACUUGCUGUAAAUCGCAGACCGGUGUCAUAUCUUAAAACGCUUGCCAUUUCCAAACCGUAGCUCCGAUUCCAAUGAUCUUUAUAUCGUUUUCAAGCGAUUUCAUCCCCUCUAUCCAGUGGCACCCUUGGAAUUCCAAGUUGAGGCCAGGUUCAUGCAUUUCCUGUCAUAUCUUGCAUUUUGCAUCCCGCAUCGCAUCCCGCAUAGCAUAUCAUCAUUUCAUCGUAUUGCUUGGUCUUGCACGUGGUUGAUUGUAUCCUUGUUGCUUGUUUGUCUUGUUUGGGUAGAGCCGGGAGACGAGUUUGCUACCGAGGAGCCCGUUGAGUUUGCUUGUGAGGAUCCAGUCAGCUCUGACAACUGUGCAGGCAAGAUGAUCAUACCCUCGAAAUCACUACUAUCUUUGCUAUGCUAGUUUGCUCGCUCUUUUGCUUUGCCACUGCUACGAUGCCUACCUUUUGCUUGUCAGCCUCCCAAUUGCAUGAUUGAACCUCUAACCCACCAUUGUCCUAGCAAACCGUUGAUUGGCUAUGUUACCGCUUUGCUCAGCCCUUCUUAUAGCGUUGUUAGCUGCAGGUGAAGAUUGGAGCCGUUCCUUGUUGGGACAUUUAUUUUACUUGUUGGGAUAUCAUUAUAUUGCUAUGUUAUCUUAAUGCAUCUAUAUACUUGGUAAAGGGUGGAAGGCUCGGCCUCUCGCCUAGUGUUUUGUUUCACUCUUGCCGCCCUAGUUUCCGUCAUAUCGGUGUUAUGUUCCCGGAUUUUGCGUUCCUUACGCGGUUGGGUUAUAAUGGGAACCCCUUGAUAUUUCGCCUCGAUUAAAGCUUUUCCAGCAAUGCCAAACCUUGGUUUUACCCUUUGCCGCCUAGCCUUUUCUUUCCCUUGGGUUCUGCAGACUCAAGGGUCAUCGUAUUUUAGCCCCCCUUGGGCCAGUGCUCCCUCUGAGUGUUGGUCCGAACUGAGCUGCCUGCGGGGCCACCUCGGGGAAACUUGAGGGUUGGUUUUACUCGUAGCUAGUCUCAUCUGAGUGUGCCCUGAGAAAGAGAUAUGUGCAGCUCCUAUCGGGAUUUGUCGGCACAUUCGGGCGGUGUUGCUGGACUUGUUUUAACCUGUCGAAUUGUCUUGUUGUACCGGGUUAUCGAGUCUGAUCGGUGUGUCCCGGGUGGAGGUCUAUUCCUUCGUUGACCGUGAGAGCUUGUCAUGGGCUAAGUUGGGACUCCCCUGCAGGGAUUGAACUUUCGAAAGCCGUGCCCGCGGUUAUGGGCAGAUGGGAAUUUGUUAAUGUCUGGUUGUAGAUUACUUGAACUAAACUUAAUUAAAAUGAAUCAACCGUGUGUGUUACCGUGAUGGCCCCUUCUCGGCGGAGUCCGGGAAGUGGACACGGUGUUGGAGUUAUGCUUGCGCAGGAUGUUCCUUUAGCUUCUCGCUCGUGCUUCGCCUUCUCUUCUCGCUCUCUUUUGCGUAUAAGUUAGCCACCACAUAUGCUAGUCGCUUGCUGCAGCUCCACAUAUACUUGCCUUAUCCUAUCCUAUAAGCUUAAAUAGUCUUGAUAGCGUGGGUGUGAGAUUGCUGAGUCCCCGUGGCUCACAGAUACUACAACUCCAGAUGCAGGUCCAGGUGAUUCUGCUCCAGGUGACGAGUACGAGCUCAAGUGGGAGUUCGACGAGGACUCUCAGCGUUAUUAUGUUUCCUUUCCCGAUGAUCAGUAGUGGUGCCUAGUUGGGGAUCGAUUCAGGGCCUUGUCGCAUGUUGGGUUCUUUUCUAUUUUGGCGCCGUAGUCGGGCCAUGAGUGUUUGUUUGAUGGAUGUUAUUUAUGUACUCUGAUGUGACGUGGCGAGUGUAAGCCAACUAUGUUAUCUCCCCCUUUUAUUAUGUAUUACAUGGGAUGUUGUAAUGAUUGCCUGACUUGCGACAUUGCUUUCAAUGCGGUUAUGUCUCUAAGUCGUGCCACGACACGUGGGAGCUAUAGCCGCAUCGAGGGCGUUACAAUCUUGUUCUGAAGUUUCAUGAUCAUUAUCAUUAGCUUCCUCACUAAUUGGUGUAGGUGUCGCAGAAAUAGGUUUCUGUGAUGUACUACUUUCCAAUAAGGGAGCAGGUACAGUUACCUCAUCAAGUUCUACUUUCCUCCCACUCACUUCUUUCGAGAGAAACUCCUUCUCUAGAAAGUUUCCGAACUUAGCAACAAAAGUCUUGCCUUCGGAUCUGUGAUAGAAGGUGUAUCCAAUAGUCUCCUUUGGAUAUCCUAUGAAGACACAUUUCUCUGAUUUGGGUUUGAGCUUAUCAGGUUGAAGCUUUUUCACAUAAGCAUCGCAACCCCAAACUUUCAGAAACGACAACUUUGGUUUCUUGCCAAACCAUAGUUCAUAAGGCAUUGUCUCAACGAAUUUUGACGGUGCCCUAUUUAACGUGAAUGCGGCCGUCUCCAAAGCAUAAUCCCAAAACGAUAGCGGUAAAUCAGUAAGAGACAUCAUAGAUCGCACCAUAUCUAGUAAAGUACGAUUACGACGUUCGGACACACCAUUACGCUGUGGUGUUCCGGGUGGCGUGAGUUGCGAAACUAUUCCGCAUUGUUUCAAAUGUACACCAAACUCGUAACUCAAUAUUCUCCUCCACGAUCAGAUCGUAGAAACUUUAUUUUCUUGUUACGAUGAUUUUCAACUUCACUAUGAAAUUCUUUGAACUUUUCAAACGUUUCAGACUUAUGUUUCAUUAAGUAGAUAUAACCAUAUCUGCUUAAGUCAUUUGUGAAGGUGAGAAAAUAACGAUAUCCGCCAUGAGCCUCAAUAUUCAUCGGACCACAUACAUCUGUAUGUAUGAUUUCCAACAAAUCUGUUGCUCUCUCCAUAGUACCGGAGAACGGUGUUUUAGUCAUCUUGCCCAUGAGGCACGGUUCGCAAGUACCAAGUGAUUCAUAAUCAAGUGGUUCCAAAAGUCCAUCAGUAUGGAGUUUCUUCAUGCGCUUUACACCGAUAUGACCUAAACAGUAGUGCCACAAAUAAGUUGCACUGUCAUUAUCAACUCUGCAUCUUUUGGCUUCAACACUAUGAAUAUGUGUGUCACUACUAUCGAGACUCAAUAAAAAUAGACCACUCUUUAAGGGUGCAUGACCAUAAAAGAUAUUACUCAUAUAAAUAGAACAACCAUUAUUCUUAGAUUUAAAUGAAUAACCGUCUCGCAUAAAACAAGAUCCAGAUAUAAUGUUCAUGCUUAAAGCUGGCACCAAAUAACAAUUAUUUAGGUCUAAUAUUAAUCCCGAAGGUAGAUGUAGAGGUAGCGUGCCGACUGCGAUCACAUCGACUUUGGAACCGUUUCCCACGCGCAUCGUCACCUCGUCCUUAGCCAAUCUUCGCUUAAUCCAUUGUCCCUGUUUCGAGUUGCAAAUAUUAGCAACAGAACCAGUAUCAAAUACCCAGGUGCUACUGCGAGCAUUAGUAAGGUACACAUCAAUAACAUGUAUAUCACAUAUACCUUUGUUCACCUUGCCAUCCUUCUUAUCUGCCAAAUACUUGGGGCAGUUCCGCUUCCAGUGACCAGUCUGCUUGCAGUAGAAGCACUCAGUUUCAGGCUUAGGUCUAGGUUUGGGUUUCUUAUCUUGAGUAGCAACUUGCUUGCUGUUCUUUUUGAAGUUUCCCUUCUUUUUCCCUUUGCCCUUUUUCUUGAAACUAGUGGUCUUGUUGACCAUCAACACUUGAUGCUCCUUCUUGAUUUCUACCUCCGCAGCUUUCAGCAUUGCGAAGAGCUCGGGAAUAGUCUUAUUCAUCCCUUGCAUAUUAUAGUUCAUCACGAAGCUCUUGUAGCUUGGUGGCAGUGAUUGGAGAAUUCUGUCAAUGACACAAUCAUCUGGAAGAUUAACUCCCAAUUGAAUCAAGUGAUUAUUAUACCCAGACAUUUUGAGUAUAUGCUCACUGACAGAACUGUUCUCCUCCAUCUUGCAGCUAUAGAACUUAUUGAAGACUUCAUAUCUCUCAAUCCGGGCAUUUGCUUGAAAUAUUAGCUUCAACUCCUGGAACAUCUCAUAUGCUCCAUGACGUUCAAAACGUCGUUGAAGUCCCGAUUCUAAGCCGUAAAGCAUGGCACACUGAACUAUCAAGUAGUCAUCAGCUUUGCUCUGCCAGACGUUCAUAACAUCUGGUGUUGCUCCAGCAGCAGGCCUGGCACCCAGCGGUGCUUCCAGGACGUAAUUCUUCUGUGCAGCAAUGAGGAUAAUCCUCAAGUUACGGACCCAGUCCAUGUAAUUGCUACCAUCAUCUUUCAACUUUGCUUUCUCAAGGAACGCAUUAAAAUUCAACGGAACAACAACACGAGCCAUCUAUCUACACUCAAGCAAAAACAAGCAAGAUACUAUCAGGUACUAAGUUUCAUGAUAAAUUUAGGUUCAAUUAAUUUACUUAAAGAACUCCCACUUAGAUAGACAUCCCUCUAAUCCUCUAAGUGAUUACGUGAUCCAAAUCAACUAAACUAUGUCCGAUCAUCACGUGAGAUGGAGUAGUUUCAUUGGUGAACAUCACUAUGUUGAUCAUAUCUACUAUAUGAUUCACGCUCGACCUUUCGGUCUCCGUGUUCCGAGGCCAUAUCUGUAUAUGCUUGGCUCGUCAAGUAUAACCUGAGUAUUCCAUGUGUGCAACUGUUUUGCAUCCAUUGUAUUUGAACGUAGAGCCUAUGACACCCGAUCAUCACGUGGUGUCUCAGCACGAAGAACUUUCGCAACCGUGCAUACUCAGGGAGAACACUUCUUGAUAAUUAGUGAGAGAUCAUCUUAUAAUGCUACCGUCAAUCAAAGCAAGAUAAGAUGCAUAAAAGAUAAACAUCACAUGCAAUCAAUAUAAGUGAUAUGAUAUGGCCAUCAUCAUCUUGUGCUUGUGAUCUCCAUCUUCGAAGCACCAUCAUGAUCACCAUCGUCACCGGCGCGACACCUUGAUCUCCAUCGUAGCAUCGUUGUCGUCUCGCCAAUCUUAUGCUUCCACGACUAUCGCUACCGCUUAGUGAUAAAGUAAAGCAUUACAACGCGAUUGCAUUGCAUACAAUAAAGCGACAACCAUAUGGCUCCUGCCAGUUGCCGAUAACUCGAUUACAAAACAUGAUCAUCUCAUACAAUAAAAUUUAGCAUCAUGUCUUGACCAUAUCACAUCACAACAUGCCCUGCAAAAACAUGUUAGACGUCCUCUACUUUGUUGUUGCAAGUUUUACGUGGCUGCUACGGGCUUAAGCAAGAACCAAUCUUACCUACGCAUCAAAACCACAACGAUAGUUUGUCAAGUUGGUGUUGUUUUAACCUUUGCAAGGACCGGGCGUAGCCAAACUCGGUUCAACUAAAGUUGGAGAAACUGUCACCCGCAAGCCACCUAUGUGCAAAGCACGUCGGGAGAACCGGUCUCGCGUAAGCGUACGCGUAAUGUCGGUCCGGGCCGCUUCGUCCAACAAUACCGCCGAACCAAAGUAUGACAUGCUGGUAAGCAGUAUGACUUAUAUCGCCCACAACUCACUUGUGUUCUACUCGUGCAAAUAACAUCAACAUAUAAAACCUAGGCUCGGAUGCCACUGUUGGGGAACGUAGUAAUUUCAAAAAAUUUCCUACACACACGCAAGAUCAUGGUGAUGCAUAGCAAUGAGAGGGGAGAGUAUGAUCUACGUACCCUAGUAGAUCGACAACGGAAGCGUUAACUUGGUUGAUGUAGUCGUACGUCUUCACGGCCCGACCGAUCAAGCACCGAAACUACGGAACCUCCGAGUUCUAGCACACGUUCAGCUCGAUGACGAUCCCCGGACUCCGAUCCAGCAAAGUGUCGGGGAAGAGUUCCGUCAGCACAACGGCGUGGUGACGAUCUUGAUAUACUAUCGUCGUAUGGCUACAAUAUUAUCGAGGACUAUGGUGGAAGGGGGCACCGCACACGGCUAAGAAUAUGAUCACGUGGAUCAACUUGUGUCUUUGGGGUGCCUCUUGCCUCCGUAUAUAAAGGAUCCAAGGGGGGGUGCAGCCGGCCCUAGUAGGAGGCGCGCAGGAGGAGUCCUACUCCUACCGGGAGUAGGACUCCCCUCCCUUUCCUUGUCCCAGUAGGAGAGGGGGAAGGAGAGAAGGAAAAGAGGGGGCACCGCCCCUCCCUCCUUGUCCAAUUCGGACUUAGGGGGAGAGGGGGCGUGCGGCCUGCCCUGGCAGCCCCUCCUCUUCUCCACUUUAGGCCCAUGAGGCCCAUUAACCCCCGGGGGGGUUCCCGUAACCCCCCGGUGCUCCGGUUUUAUCCGAAACUUCCCCGAAACACUUCCGGUGUCUGAAUAUAGCCAUCCAAUAUAUCAAUCUUUAUGUCUCGACCAUUUCGAGACUCCUCAUCAUGUCCGUGAUCACAUCCGGGACUCCGAACUAACUUCGGUAUAUCAAAACUCAUAAACUCAUAAUAUAACUGUCAUCGAAACCUUAAGCGUGCGGACCCUACGGGUUCGAGAACAAUGUAGACAUGACCGAGACACGUCUCCGGUCAAUAACCAAUAGCGGAACCUAGAUGCUCAUAUUGGCUCCUACAUACUCUACGAAGAUCUUUUAUCGGUCAGACCGCAUAACAACAUACGUUGUUCCCUUUGUCAUCGGUAUGUUACUUGUCCGAGAUUCGAUCGUCGGUAUCCCAUACCUAGUUCAAUCUCGUUACCGACAAGUCUCUUUACUCGUUCCGUAAUACAUCAUCUCACAACUAACUCAUUAGUUGCAAUGCUUGCAAGGCUUAUGUGAUGUGUAUUACCGAGAGGGCCCAGAGAUACCUCUCCGACAAUCGGAGUGACAAAUCCUAAUCUCGAAAUACGCCAACCCAACAUGUACCUUUGGAUACACCUGUAGAGCACCUUUAUAAUCACCCAUUUACGCUGUGACGUUUGGUAGCACACAAAGUGUUCCUCCGGCAAACGGGAGUUGCAUAAUCUCAUAGUCAUAGGAACAUGUAUAAGUUAUGAAGAAAGCAAUAGCAACAUACUAAAUGAUCGGGUGCUAAGCUAAUGGAAUGGGUCAUGUCAAUCAGAUCAUUCAUCUAAUGUUGUGAUCCUGUUAAUCAAAUGACAACUCUUUGUCCAUGGUUAGGAAACAUAACUAUCUUUGAUUAACAAGCUAGUCUAGUAGAGGCAUACUAGUGACACUCUGUUUGUCUAUGUAUUCACACAUGUAUUAUGUUUCCGGUUAAUACAAUUCUAGCAUGAAUAAUAAACUUUUAUCAUGAUAUAUAAGGAAAUAAAUAAUAACUUUAUUAUUGCCUCUAGGGCAUAUUUCCUUCACCAACAAGCUUGUGUUUGCUCAAUUCGGAGCUCAUAUGCAGAAGUUAUGGCAGUUCUAGUUUUCUUGAGAGUGGUUUUUGUCUGGUCCCAGCGGUAGUACCGCGUGCCCCAGCGGUAGUACCGCUUGGAGCUCUCAGCCGUUGUACCGCUGCUUCCGGGCGGUGGUACCGCCAACUUGCUCAGCAAAGUCUUGGGUGGUUGUUCCGGCCAGGCACCGCCCAAGUAUCGUUCAGGCCUCUGUUUUGAUGCGGUACUCGGGCGGUGGUGGCCCGGUUGGUCCGGUCGUACCGGUACCACCGGUGUCCGGAGCGGUUCUACCGCUCAGGACUUAGCCGCCUGAGCGCUCAAGGCCAUGCGGUUGCACCGGCCCGGUACCGCUCGACUACCGCACUCAGGGGUGACUCCCUUCUGUUCCUAUGCGGUGGUUGAGCGGUGGCUGGGCGGUUGGUCCGGUUGUUCUUCUCAACCGGUGCUACCGCCUGGUCGCCCGGUUGUACCGACUGGUAGGGUUCUGCACGUAUACUGUGAGUCCCGGUUGUACCGGGACCAGGAGCGGUAGUACCGCUCGUGUGCGGGCUGAGCACAUAACGGUUGGAUUUUCCCCCUCCUAUAAAAAGGGGGUCUUCUUCCCCAUUGAACCUAAUCUUUUGAGCUCGUGUUCUUCCCCCAUUGUUGACCUUCUUUGAUCUUGCUAACUCUCAAUCCCUCCAUGGAUUCUUGCUAGUUUUUGAGGGAAAAGAGAGAGGAGAUCUAGAUCCACAUUUCCACCAAUCACUUUCUCCUCUAUGUGAGGGGAACCCCUUGGAUCUAGAUCUUGGAGUUCUUGGUGUUCUCCUUCUUGUUCUUCCUCUCAUUUUCCUCCCUAGCAUUAGUUGCUCCGGUGGGAUUUGAGAGAGAAGGACUUGGGCACUCCGUGUGCCCUUGCCAUUGCAUUUGGUGCAUCGGUUUGAGUUCUCCACGGUGAUGCGUGGAAGUGAAGUUUGAGAAGCUUAUUACUCUUGGGUGUUUGGGCACCCUAGAGCUUGUUCCUCUUGGGUGCCUUGGCGCCUAGACGGUUGGUGUUGUUCGGAGCUCAAUCAUUGUGGUGUAAAGCUCCGGGCAAGCGUCGGGGUCUCCAAUUAGAUUGUGGAGAUCGCCCCGAGCAAUUUGACGGGUACCGGUGACCGCCCCCAAGGGUUGCCAAAGUGUACGGGUUCGGUGACCGCCCCAAGGGUUGCCAUUUGUACGGGUUCGGUGACCGCCCUCAAGGGCCCCUUAGUGGAAUCACGGCAUCUUGCAUUGUGCGAGGGCGUGAGGAGAUUACGGUGGCCCUAGUGGCUUCUUGGGGAGCAUUGUGCCUCCACACCGCUCCAAACGGAGAUUAGCAUCCGCAAGGGUGUGAACUUCGGGAUACAUCGUCGUCUCCGCGUGCCUCGGUUAUCUCUUACCCGAGCUCUUUACUUAUGCACUUUACUUUGUGAUAGCCGUAUUGUUUCUUGUCAUAUAUCUUGCCAUCGCAUAGUUGCUUAUCUUGCUUAGCAUAAGUUGUUGGUGCACAUAGGUGAGCCUAGUUGUUUUAGGUUUUGUGCUUGACAAAUUAACCGCUAGGUUUAUUCCGCAUUUGUUCAAGCCUAAAUCGUAAUUAUUUUAAAACGCCUAUUCACCCCCCUCUAGGCGACAUCCACGAUCUUUCAAAGAUCAAAGGCCCUAUUAACUAACCUAGCUCGAAUAUUUGGUUCGACCAUCUAUGUUGAAACUGAACUCCAUGGGUGAAAAUUCUCAAAGAAUUUUGUGAUGAUUCAUUUUAGGAAGCCAGGAGAGAUGUAUGAUCUCAAGACUAAGCCAACAGUAAAUCUACAAAAUCCAAUAGAAAUCCACGCUUCUACAAAGGCAUGUGGUAUCAUGGUUCACAAAUUUGAGGAAUGUGGUACCGGGGAGUUUGAGGAAAAAGAUCUCAUGUGGGGUGUCUACCCUAAGGCUAUGCGAGUCACAUGGCAUGGUCAUAUCAUCUUCAGUGGAAGAGGAAGAGGAGCCGACCAUCCAUGUGGACAAAGAGGCAGUCGCACUGAUGGUGGUCGUCGGAAAGGGACGUGGUGAGUAUUUUGACAAAAGAACCCACCCUCAACAUAAUGAGAAGCCUCGGGAGAAGGAAGUCAGUGAGUUGGUAGAUAACACACUGAGCCUAGUUAAAUAUCAACGAACAUCAUCGUGACAGAUGGUAAGAGCAAUGCUAGGUUGGCACUUGAGAAAAGCACACCAUUGAGGCAAAAACACACACUAAAGAAGCCCACCUAUACCCCACCAGUUGGGGAUGUAGGUAACAUGGUGAUCAAGGAUAUUGUUGUAGAGAAGAAAAUUGCCCCUGGAAAUGAGAGUGACGAAGAGUUUAAUAAAAGAUCUAGAAAGUAAGGGGGGCUCACAUUCAACAAAAAUACCAUCAUUAGUAGCAAUUUUCAAGGACUACUUGCUAUGAAAAUUUUGACUUGGAAUUGUCGAGGACUUAGUAAAACCCCAACAAUUCGUGCAUGCUUCUAGAUAUCCGGCGGCGCAAUGAAAAUUUUCUUAUGCUUUUGAUGAAUUAGAUAUUGUUUUAUAGUUUGUUAUUCGUAGGACGAAAUGCAGCGAUAAGAGCGGUACAUGCACAAUAAAAAGGUACAUGCACAAUAAAAAGGCACAAAGACAAUAGAUCUUACGCAUCACUCUCUCUAUGUGAUUUUAUUAGGCAACCUUGUAUUUUUGGUCAAACUUUGACCGUAUAUUUGAUUUAGACAAUAUAGGUGAUAUGUCAUAAAAAUAUAUUGUUGGGUUCAUUCGAAAGAAGAUAUCAAUGGUCAUUUUUGCUACAUAUAAGGGCAUCUUCAACGCUGACCCUCAAACCUCCCGCAACCGCCCGAACUGCGGAAGCCAUCCAACGCGGUUCUGUAUCGGUCCGCGGUAUGGUAUGAACAUGAUUUCUACCGCAAACCGGAGAUCGACAAACGUGGGGGGCGUUGCGGGAGUUCGGACAUGCUAAAUGUCGCUCUCCGCCCUCCUGACCCACCCAAAACAAAGGCGGAGCCCGCACUUUUGUAGCAUCCCGUACUGUUUCCGCGCGAAAAUCUUCCACUCCCCGCCGCUCUCCAUCUAAUUCUCACUCUUUUCUCUCACCCCCUCUUCCUUCCGCCGCCGACGCAUGAAACCAUUGAAGAUGGAACCUUAUACCUCGUUUGUGCACUGUCCUAGAGAGGCUAAUUCUGUUGUUCAUGAAUUAGCAAAUUUGGCUAAGGGCCCGUUGUAACACCCCGGAUGUAACUUUCCCAAUUUAUACUCCAACUCUUGCCGUUUCCGGCGUUAAGUUAUAUUUAUUUCCUCAGGUCCGGGUCUUUGUCUUCAUGUGUGUUGUCGUUGUCAUGCGUCUCAUAUCAUGUCAUCAUGUGCAUUGCAUUUGCAUACGUGUUCGUCUCAUGCAUUCGAGCAUUUUCCCCGUUGUCCGUUUUGCAUUCCGGCGCUUCGUUCUCCUCCGGUGGUCAUUUCUAGCUUUCUUUCGUGUGUGGGGAUUAAACAUUUUCGGAUUGGACCGAGACUUGCCAAGCGGCCUUGGUUUACUACCGUAAACCGCCUGUCAAGUUUCGUAUCAUUUGGACUUUGUUUGAUACUCCAACGGUUAACCGAGGGACCGAAAAGGCCUCGUGUGUUGCAGCCCAACACCCCUCCAAUUUGGCCCAAAAUCCAUCUAACUCUGCUCCAUCAUCUAGAGCGUUCGAUCAUGAUCGCGUGGUCGAAAACCGCACCUCAUUUGGACUCCCCUAGCUUCCUCUAUGCCUAUAUAUACACCCCCUCCCGAAAAUCCGGAUCUCUCCCUCGUCCCUAACCCUAGAUCUCAGCACCGCGUGCCGCCGGACAAAGAGCCCACCGACGGACACGUCCGGUCCUCCCCGCCGCCGCCACAUGUCGCCGCCCUGUUGGCUGCGCCCGCCGUCCCNNNNNNNNNNNNNNNNNNNNNNNNNNNNNNNNNNNNNNNNNNNNNNNNNNNNNNNNNNNNNNNNNNNNNNNNNNNNNNNNNNNNNNNNNNNNNNNNNNNNNNNNNNNNNNNNNNNNNNNNNNNNNNNNNNNNNNNNNNNNNNNNNNNNNNNNNNNNNNNNNNNNNNNNNNNNNNNNNNNNNNNNNNNNNNNNNNNNNNNNNNNNNNNNNNNNNNNNNNNNNNNNNNNNNNNNNNNNNNNNNNNNNNNNNNNNNNNNNNNNNNNNNNNNNNNNNNNNNNNNNNNNNNNNNNNNNNNNNNNNNNNNNNNNNNNNNNNNNNNNNNNNNNNNNNNNNNNNNNNNNNNNNNNNNNNNNNNNNNNNNNNNNNNNNNNNNNNNNNNNNNNNNNNNNNNNNNNNNNNNNNNNNNNNNNNNNNNNNNNNNNNNNNNNNNNNNNNNNNNNNNNNNNNNNNNNNNNNNNNNNNNNNNNNNNNNNNNNNNNNNNNNNNNNNNNNNNNNNNNNNNNNNNNNNNNNNNNNNNNNNNNNNNNNNNNNNNNNNNNNNNNNNNNNNNNNNNNNNNNNNNNNNNNNNNNNNNNNNNNNNNNNNNNNNNNNNNNNNNNNNNNNNNNNNNNNNNNNNNNNNNNNNNNNNNNNNNNNNNNNCGCAGCCGCCGCCGCCGACUCCGCCCCGGCCGGAUCCGCUGCCGCCGACCUCGGCCGCCGCCGUCCUCACCAUCUCCGGCGAACCGCGCCACCGCCUCGGUUCGCGUGCGUGAACAGUAAAUCCUAGAUCUCGGGGUGAUUUUUUUCCAAGUCCCAGAUAUUUUCAGUCCAUGUGCACAUGUUCACGGCUCCGUAACUUUGCAUCCGUAGCUCCAGUUCAUGCAUAUAGCAUACCAAAAUGUUCGUCUCAGAGAGUACAUCAUUUCAUUCCAUUGCAUCAUUUUCAUUUGAGUUUAUAUUGAUUCCCAAAAUACUGUUAGAAGAGGGAUACUUGAGUAAAUUGUCAGAUCUGCUACUCCAUUUAGCUUUUUGUCAUUUUUGCCAUGAUCAAUGUGUGGAUGCUAUGCCCUGAUGCUCUACAUGUGUUUUGUUAAGGGUUUAAUCAUCUUUCCAGAGAUGCAACCCAUGUAUUUUUGUGAUGUGUGUGGUGACUUGUGCAAGCUUGCAAAGUGGUGCACUUGCUAAGUCUGUUUUCAGGGACUUGGCAUUUCCACUAAGUCUUUGAGCUGUUUAUCUCAUGAUGCCAUAUGUUCUUGUUGCUUCCUAGUGAUCCGUGCCUCUUAUGAGGAUGAUCAGUAAGGAUGUUUUGUUGUUAUUGUAGUGCUCUAUCCAUCCAUGUAUUUGUUUGCAAUUAUGGAGCACCCUAGCUUGAGUCAAUCGAGCUCUAUUUUUGCUACGUUAUGAAUCUGGGCAGAUUGUCAACUUGUUUGCAAUUUUGCCGAUGAUGUUGUAGUUGAUCCGUGCAUGCUAUGCUAUUGUUCUUGCCAUGUCUAGAUUGCAUUUUGUGCCUUCUUGAUGGAUGUAUGCUUUUCUUUCCAUGACUUGCACAGUAGUGAGUGCAUUGAGUUCGUGAACAUGCCUACUUGAGUUAUAUCUCAGCUUGCUCCAGUUUUCACUAAGUCUGAAAACUGAUUAUGUUUUUGCUAUGUUCACAUGCUUGAAAUUGUAUUUUCUGAUCCCUUUUGGCUCAAGGUCACUAAGGGACUUUUGUUAAGCUCUUUGAGUAGCUCCAUGCCAUGUUUUACUUUGCCAUGUUCAGAUCAUGUAGCAUGUAGUUUUGUUGUUUCGAAGAGUGCUAUCUGAUCUGAAAUUCCAGACAAGUGUUAAUUUCACUAAGUCUGAGAUCUGUUUGCCAUAUGCAUUUUUGCCAUGCUUGUUUGAACCUGUUUCUGGAUGAUUUGGCCGUAGCUCAGUGCUAGACUUUUGUUAAGCAUCUUGAAUGCAUCCCUGCCAUAUAUUUUUUUGUCAUGUUUGGGUGCUGUAGCAUGUUCAUCUCAUCGCAUUUAGAUGCCUACUUGCUGUAAAUCGCAGACCGGUGUCAUUUUUGAAUCGCUUGCCAUUUCCAAACCGUAACUCCGAUUCCGGCGUUCUUUAUAUCGUUUUCAAGCGAUUUCGUCUCAUCUUUCCAGUGGCACACUUGGAUUUCCAAGUUGAGGCCAGGUUCAUGCAUUUCCUGUCAUAUCUUGCAUUUUGCAUCCCGCAUCGCAUCCCGCAUAGCAUAUCAUCAUUGCAUCAUAUUGCUUGAUCCUUGCACGUGGUUGAUUGUAUCCUUGUUGCUUGUUUGUAUUGUUUGGGUAGAGUCGGGAGACGAGUUCGCUAACGAGGAGCCUGUUGAGUUUGCUUUCAAGGAUCCAGUCAACUUUGACAACUAUGCAGGCAAGAUGAUCAUACCCUCGAAAUCACUAUUAUCUUUGCUAUGCUAGUUUGCUCGCUCUUUUGCUAUGCCAAUGCUACGAUGCCUACCACUUGCUUUCAAGACUCCCAAAUUGCCAUGUCAAACCUCUAACCCACCAUUGUCCUGGCAAACCGUUGAUUGGCUAUGUUACCGCUUUGCUCAGCCCCUCUUAUAGCGUUGCUAGUUGCAGGUGAAGAUUGAAGGACGUUCCUUGUUGGAACCUUUAUUUACUUGUUGGGAUAUCAUUAUAUUAUCUUGUUAUCUUAAUGCAUCUAUACACUUGGUAAAGGGUGGAAGGCUCGGCCUCUCGCCUAGUGUUUUGUUCCACUCUUGCCGCCCUAGUUUUCCGUCAUAUCGGUGUUAUGUUCCCGGAUUUUGCAUUGCUUACGCGGUUGGGUUAUAAUAGGAACCCCUUAAUAUUUCGCCUUGAUUAAAGCUUUUCCAGCAAUGCCCAACAUUGGUCUUACCAUUUGCCACCUAGCCCUUUUUUCCCUUGGGUUUCCGGAGCCCGAGGGCCAUCGUAUUUAAACCCCCCCGGGCCAGUGCUCCUCGGAGUGUUGGUCCAAACUAGAGUCAUGUGUAGCGCCCCCUCGGGGAAACUCGAGGUUUGGUUUUAGUUGUAUGGAGCGCUCAUCUGAGUGUGCCCUGAGAAAGAGAUAGGUGCAGCUCCUAUCGGGAUUUGUCGGCACAUUCGGGCGGUGUUGCUGGUCUUGUUUUAACCUGUCGAAGUGUCUUGAAUUACCGAGAUACCGAGUCUGAUCGGAACAUUUUGGGAGGAGGUUUAUUCCUUCGUUGACCGUGAGAGCUUGUCAUGGGCUAAGUUGGGACUCCCCUGCAGGGAUUGAACUUUUGAAAGUUGUGCCCGCGGUUAUGGGCAAAUGGGAAUUUGUUAAUGUCCGGUUGUAGAUAACUUGAACCUUGACUUAUUUUAAAAUGAAUCAACCGAGUGUGUUACCGUGAUGACCUCUUCUCGGCGGAGUCCGGGAAGUGGACACGGUGUUGGAGUAAUGUUUGUGCAGGUUGCUCUCUAGUUUCUCGCUCGCGCUUUGCCUCCUCUUCUCGCUCUCUUUUACGAAUAAGUUAGCCACCAAACUUGCUAGUCGCUUGCUGCAGCUCCUCUCAUAUUUUACCUUGCCUUACCUAUAAGUUUAAAUAGUUUUGAUCGCGAGGAUGCGAGAUUGCUGAGUCCCUGUGGCUCACAGAUUACUAUUACACCAGAUGCAGGGCCUGAUGAUUCCGCUUCAGGAGACGCGUAUGAGCUCAAGUGGGAGUUCGACGAAGACUCUCAACGUUACUAUGUUUCCUUUUCCGAUGAUCAGUAGUGGUGCCCGGUUGGGGGUGAUUGGGACCGUGUCGCUUGUUGGGUUAUCUUUUGUUUUGGCGCCGUAGUCGGGCCAUGAGUGUUUGGAUGAUGUAAUAUUAUUUAUGUACUUGAUUGACGUGGCGAGUGUAAGCCAACUAUGUUAUCUCCCCUUUCAUUAUUAUAUUACAUGGGAUGUUGUGAAGAUUGCCUAACUUGCGACAUAUGCCUUCAAUGCGAUUAUGUCUUUAAGUCGUGCCUCGACACGUGGUAGUUAUAGUCGCAUCAAGGGUGUUACACCCGUCCUGUAAUAGUUUUUGUUGUUGAGCCUCCUAGCAAGCUCGUCCCUCUUUUAUUAAGUGAUGUAACAGUGGUUGAAUCAUAAAUAAAGAGUGGGAUAUGAUUUAAAAAAAAAUACACGCUGUACCUACCCAUAUACUACUUAUUUUUGGAUUCUUUUACAAAAAUAUUAACGCCCACACAUGUGGGCGUUAGCCACGUCCACACGCCUUCAUCACCGUCCAGUAACUUCUGCACAAAUCUUGACAUGAAUUAGCUGAUUUUGUAUGCCAUGUAGGACAAUUCGCAUGUGUGGUAUGUGAGAGAGGUCGCUCACACAUUCAUUUUACCACACGGAAGGGCCGGUGUGUGGGCAUUUAGCAGUUCGCCCACACACCAGUUUUUCAGUCACGCACAAGGGCUAGUGUGUGGGCGUUUGCCAUCUCGCCCACACACCCGCCUCCUCUCCCACACCCAAACUGUCAGUUACCAUGCGGUUUGCAGUGUACAUGACAACUGACCUAGUAUGAUUGCAAGCAGACAACAACUUUCUCUUUUUUUACCGAACAUGUCAGUUGCCAUAUGUUUUGCAUGGUACAUGGCAAACUGCCCUAGCAUGCACGUAAGCAGAUGACAACUCUUUCUUUUUAAACGGCAAUUGCCCUAGCGUGCUUGUGAGCACAUGGCAACUCUCUCUUUUUACCCGAACAUGUUAUUUGCCAUGCCUUUUUUUGUAGCGCUACAUGGCAACUGCCUAGUGUUAGUAGGUGACAACUCCUAAAGUUUUGAAAUCAUGACAACUGCAGUAGACCGGACCACACAUGGCAACAGCUGUAGUUGUCCAAAAAAUGACAAUCUGGAACUUUGACCUGAAAUGGCAACUGCAGUUGAGCAAACAUGACAACUGUAGUUGUCCGACAUGGCAACUGCACUUAAACGAACAUGAACGAGGGUCCGGCCCAUGGCAACUACGGGGCGCGCGGUGAAGUGUCACGUGGGGCGUGCGGGACCAUGAGGUAUGAGGCCUGAUGUAUCGGGCGUGUGGGCGUUAUCUAUUUCGUCCACACGCACGCGUGUAAGAGGGACCGGGAGGGAAAAAAAAGGCGUGUGGGCGCUAAUUGUUUUGCCCACACACAGACAUGUGGGCUGGUCCUCUUAGACAUCACACAGAACGUAUGGGCAGAUUUCUUAAUGCCCACACGUGUAGCAGUUAUCCACGUCCUUCUUUUAUAUCUGUUUUUAAGACACGUUUUCAGUUUGGAAGGUGCUCCAUACUUUACAGUGGCUGGACCGCAGAGACGGGACUCUCCCGGCCAUGGCCGAUUAGGUUAGGGUUUCGACGGUUGCCGCCGCCGCAUCGCGUAAAGGGGCCGGGGUGCUCGAGCACGAGGCGAGGGCGCCGUCGGUGUGCGUCCCGAAAAGGCGGCCGCGGGCACGGGCUCGAGCGGAGAGAUGCCGCACGAGCAUGAGCACCCUGCAGCAGAGGACAUCCCCGAAUCUGACCCCGACGAGUGUGUAGUUUGUCAAGAAAGCAGAGUUGCACAUACAAGAUAUACAUGAAGCGAAACUUUUGAUCCAAGAGCUGAAUCGAUCGGGCGUGGGAGAGGACAUCAGCGAUGAGGAGUUCCUUGCUUACUUUGACCAGCUGGCUCCCGGGCCUCCGUGGGUUGAUCUUAGAGCUGGGCUGACAGAAGAGGAUCUCGUUCAGCAAUACGUCGACCAUGCACUGUGCCGCUUCAGAUAUUACAAUACAAGGUUCAGUCCACAGUUCCAUCUUCACAUGCCAUGCAUUAUAUUGGCAGAAUUUACUUGCCCAAUGCCUGCAUUUGCUGGAUUAUUUAACCUCGUGUUUGCAUUUAAUUUGAUCUUCUAUGUGUCAUCUCAUUGUCUGUAGUUGUCACAGCCCAAGGAAGAGCCGUAUGGUGAUAACCUUCCUGAGGAAGAAGAGGACGGUAAGGAAGAAAGGGAAUAUUUAGCUACAUUGACAGAGAAGCAACUUCUAUUCCUUGAGGAAGACGACGCUACAUCGGAAGAGGAUGAUAACCUUAUGGAUAAAACUGAGGAUGAUUGUAGUAUGGAGUUUCUUGAGGAGAAGGGAUUUUUCAUCAGCUUUGAAGAAGAUGGAACACUCGAUUGGUUUUUCUACCCUGCUUACUGCGAAUGUGCUUCCCUGAGUGACUAUCAACGCCUAGUCCUAAAAAAUUAUGUGAGUGAUCUUCAAUUUAUAAUUGUGGUCAAUUGUACUGACACAACUGUCUGGCAAUCACACACAUUAUGCAGUCUCCAAAACUACCAUUCUUGUUUGGAAAGAAGCCGAAAAAUGUAGCAGGACUAAAUAUAGUGCCAACAGAUAAAAUCUUUCACCUUGUUCCUUAGUGCUCAUUACCUUCGUUUUUUUAUCAAACGGCUCACUGAUCGACUCUUUGACUGUGCCUAAUGAUUUCUUUUUUUGUUUUUCUAAGCAACUGAAUUGUAUUUUCUAAUAAAUACUAGCCACUUAUUCAUUCUUUUUUAUCAUAUAUGGUUAAACUUUGUUUUUUCUUUGCAGCUGCAAGCCUUUAGUUCAAUCAAAUCUUGCUUAGGUUAUGUAUUGCCUGUCGUUCUAAAAAUUGCUAAGCAAUCGAUUUUCUCUCUCUGUCCUUUUCAAUGUAGGGUGGUACCGAGUACAACAUGUGGAGUGACUACCAUAGCUACCUUCAUAGCUAUGAUAUUGAACGGGAGUAUCUCAAGUACUGCAAGGAAUUAUCCAAGCGACUGAAGGUAUGCAUCAGAGAUCAUGUUAAGGAAAUUGUCUAAUUUUGUUCAAUGCUUUCAAAUUUCUUUGGACUUACAACUUCCUUUUUCUCCGGCAACAGUGGAUGGAAGAUUACGUCGAUACUUGCCGCUCAUCCGUCAAAGUAAGUAUGGCCUUACAAAAUUCUUGGAAUGACACUGCUAAUUAUUUGUAUAUCUUUUAACACCCUCGUAACUUGUUGUUGUUCAGUGGGGUAAAAUAUCUUCCCGAGGAGCAUUUCAAGCAAUUAAGAUUGCUGCUACUAGCUUUCCCAAGAUCACUCCUACUUUAGCUUACAAUGGCUUUGAUGUAGGAUCUCUCACACACAUGAAUUUAAUGUAGCUUACAAUGGCCUAUAUUGUAUCUGAAAGUUGCAUUCACUUGAUUUAGGAGUAUAAAGAGCGCAUUUGCUAUUAUCAUACUUGGUUUAAGGAGUAUGAUCGUUUAUACUUUGAGAUUUGGCGGCGGGUCACAAAGGGAACAGUUAGUGUGUUAUGCGCAACUAAGCAACUACUCAAUGAUGGUUCAUGGUUUUCGAAUACACUGUAUAUGCUUAGCAAUGCAUGACUUUUCCCUUGAAUAAUGUUCAACAGAGUUUCAGAAAGGCUAUGGAGGACGUUUGUAAGAUGAACAAGUUUCCGGUACGACAAGGUUUAAUGCAAACUGCGCUGGACCAUGAGUACACCAUGACGUUGAUGGAAGAGGACGUACGUUAGCUGUUUUUAUUAAUAGAUAAUUUGCACUUGUAACUUAAUAUUCUUUUCUGUGCAUAUAUGCUUAUCUCUUUUCAUCUUCCUGGCUUCAGUUCCAUACCUGCACGGCAGCCAUUCGCCCUGCAGUAAGUAGCGUCUUUUGUAUGUGACAUGCAGGUGUAAUUCAUUGAAAUAUUUCCUUCUGAUGUAUGGUCUGCUUGCCUUCAGGUUAAAGAGGAUAAAGCUAAGGAGUUGAUUGCAGACGGAGUUAAAAAGCUGGUACUGUAAUUUGUGAAUUCACCUCUGCGUUAUUCAUGCUUUUGAAAGAUGAUUUCCCUAGUGAAAUUCUUCUCCUUUUCAGGUUAAUAUGCCCAAGUCCUAUGAGGAUUAUAUCAGAAAAAAGAUAGAGAUCGCACGCAUUAUUGGAAUCCUUCCUUCCGAGAAGACUGUGGCAACAGUAUAAUGAAGAUUCUGAAGAAUGAGAUAAUUGGCAAACAAGCGUCGUUUAUAAGAUUAUGAAACUGAACCAUCCAUUGUCAUGUUGCACUGUGCUUCCCACAUGUUGUUGUUGUGUGUAGAAAUGGCAGUGACCUGUAAGAUACUGUAAUAGAUCAUUUAUGCUGUCUGAGAGCAAUUUUAGCAGUACUACUUGACAUAUACACCCUCCGCCAAAAUGUGCAUAGACAUGCUGCAUAAUGUAUCCUAAUUAUUUUUGCAACAUUGUUUGUUUUCAAUUCUUGCAAUGUAAACUAAAUGUUAUUCAAAGAAACACAGUUUUUGGCAAAGCAUGGGGCGUUGGCUAGGGUUGUAACUCUUAAUUAGCAUAUAGUUUUUGCGGUUGCACAAUUUUUUAGCGUAUAGUACAUUGUUUGCAAUUUUUAAGCUAUGUUAAAAUGGUGGAUAGAAGUGACUUCUGCUCCAACUACACCCAUCUAACAGCUCUAUCGGACGGUUGCUUGGAUGUAACAUACGAGCCCCUCAUGUUAGUUUUGCUGUAUGCUAAGAAUAAAUGCCAUCGAAAAUGUCACUGCAAAUGGAAGAUACUCGGCCUGCUCUGCUAGCUUAUGAGAUCCAGUUCGCUGCAUGGAUUGAGCAGCCCGGGAUUGCACACGUGUCGAGAGCAAAGCUUGAGGGAAAGGUACGGUUCUACAUCUGGCUAUUGCUGCAGAAUAGAAAUUGGACUGCGGACAGGCUGCAGGCUAGAGGAUGGCCACACAAUGCCUGCUGUCGGCUGUGUGAUCAGGAACCCGAAACCGCGGAACAUAUCACGCUGCGAUGCAGCUAUGCGAGAGAGGUCUGCUACCUAUUCCAGGGUACAAGUGAUAGGAUUUACAACGUGGUGCACUCUGCAAACUCAGUUUCAGAUUGGUGGAAUAGGCUCUAUAUGCAUCGCGGUGCGCAAUCCAAGGCCACAGAGGAAACAUCCCUGUCGGCAUACAUUGCUUGGCAUCUUUGAAAGGAACGGAACAGAAGGGUCACUGAGAAUGUUGAGAUGGCGUCAAGAGCCUUGGUGAAUCUUAUUCAGGAUGAUAUCAAAAUGCGAGUUAUUUACUCAAAACCACCACAUUAUGGGCUAGGGUAACAGAUCGGUACCACAUUUGAGGCAGUUCACAAAAAACCACCAACAAUGGGGCUAAUCUGUAACGCGGAGCACUGACGCAGCGUUUUAGCCCAGAAAACAGCGAAUCCGACAGGUGGGUCCCGCCUGUCGGGCUGACGUGGCGCGUGUUGAUGGACGCCGUUAGACGGCGAGAGACGGCCGUUUCGGUGCGCCCGUCUAAGUGGCCCGCACCGGUCGGUGUUCGAACCAGACCAGCCAGUUCAUCACUCUCGCUCUCCUCUCUCUCGACUCCGGCCACUGUCGGCGCCGUCACUGUCGACUCGCCGCCUUUCGCCGCUCCGCCAUGGUUUCUUGGAGCGACCAGUCCUCGAGCUCUUCUUCGGACGGCGAAGAAGUCACUAGCCAGGUAUGCGUGUUCGCCUCUCGCCUCCCCCACGGAUUAGGGUUCAUCCUGCUAGGGUUAGGGUUCAUCAUUUGGGGAUUUUUAACCAGGUCGCUGAUUUGUGCAAUUUGUGUGCUGGUUAGCUUCCUAGGACUAUCUCUUGCUAUGAAUGGAGUGGCAUUGCUCACGAUCUGUCGUCUCGUUGUCUGCAUCAAGAACCGUGCGUCAAGCUUGUUGCAUUUGAAUCUGUGGACACAGGCAGACGUUUUCUUGUGUGUGCUCAGGAGAAGGUAUGUCGGUUAGUAGUGUAAGUAGAUUAGCUUAGUUAGUUUAUGCUCCAUUCACUUGUCAGUACUCCAAUUUUGUGUAUCAAAGAUUUGUUCCUGGAUAGAUGUUGCUUCAGUUGAUGUAAUAGUUGUUUCUGCCCAUAAUCUAUAUAAUCUAUGCAUAUACAAUCUUAUAGAUGGAUAUAAUGUAGCCCAUGAAGAUGUAAUAGUUGUUGCCCAUAAUCUAUGCAUAUAAUCUAUGCAUAUACAAUCUUAUAGAUGGAAAAAAAAUUGUAUAUGUUGUUAUAAUUGUUUCUGCCCAGAAUUUGUGCAUACAAUUUUGAGAAUAUAUCUAUUAAUUAAUGAUGUAAUAUUUGAUUUAGGCACCAAUUGAUGCAUAUAAUAUAAUUCAGUGGAUAGAACUAAACUAAAAUUCAGUGGAUAGAAUUAAACUAAAUUUCAGUGGAUAGAACAAAAACUACAGAUUGUGCACAUUUGGGUGGAAAGAACUAAACUACAAUUUCAUACAGUAUUAUAUAAUUUGUGCACAUUUCAUAUAAUUUCUUAUUGAGAACAUAUUUAUUUAAUUGUAGGCAGAACUAAAGUGCAACUAUCUCGAGUGGAUAGACCCAGAGUGGUCAGUGGCUAUGCAGUUCACCCUCACUGAAUUGUGGAGCAUGUAUAACAAAGAAAUCGAUGACAGGCUGAAACAAAAUGUUGAGCUUGGUGAAAGAAAUUUCAAACUAGUUGGAGAAAAGAGGAAGAUGGAGGAAGAUCUGAGGUUUUUCAAACUGGACUUUGCUAAAAUGGUUGCUGACAAGGAGGAUGCUAUCACAGAGUUGGGCAAUGCUAGGUUGGCUCUAAGUGAUCUCAAAGAGGAGAUGGAGAAGAAGAAGCUGGCAGACCAUGGUUGUACCAAUCUUCAUCAGGUACUUAGGGCAAAGGCAGAGAAAGAGAGGGACCAGCUAGUGGUAGAGAGAGACCAAGUUGUGACAGAGAGGGACCAACUGAAACAAGAGAAGAAAAAACUGGAGUACAUGAUUGCAGAUCUGCUCAAACAGAAACAUGGGUACAAGGACAAGAUCAAGAAGUUGAAGGACAUAUGUGAUGAUUUUUAAUUAUGUAUUGUGGUGUGGUUUAGGGUAGCACUGCAGUUGAUAUGAAUGUGCUCUUAUGCACUUCCAAAGUUGUAAUGCUUUAUGUAUCUUUAUGUCCAAGACUUGUGUUGUGUACUCCCAAGAACUAAUUAAUGUCCUACUUAUUAUCAAUGUAUCUUUGGAUCAAUGCAUCUUUGGAUCAAUGUCCUACUUAUUAAUGUAUUUUGUUUGUAUGAAAUGAAAUGUUUGUAGUUGUUUUGCCAUAAUAUUUGCACAAAACAUAUAUUCUAAAUGUUUGUGGUUGUUUUGCCAUAAUAUUUGCACAGAAUAUAUAUUCUAAAUGUUUGUGGUUGUUUUGCCAUAAUAUUUGCACAGAACAUAUAUUCUAAAUGUUUGCACAUAAUUUGAACAACAGGAGAUAAACAUAGAUAACUUCAAAGUGCCAUACAUAGGUUUAACAAACUUAGGUUCUGAGUGCCAUACAUAGGUUCAUAAUGUCAUAAAUAAAGUGAUGUAAUGCCUGAUUUAGCACACAUGCACUUGCACACAGACUUCAAAUUUGAGCAUUUAAUAGUUCCCACUGGCAUAAAAGUACCCCUCCAUCCUCUUGCUCAUGUACUUUGUCCUCUUUGGCCUACUGCCUGCAGGCUGGCUAGUAGAAGCUUCUGCAGAACUUCUUGGAGGCUUGAACCUUUUUGCACCCCUUCCAGCAGCAGUGGAAGAUCUUGCACCUCUCCCAGCAGUAGGAGAAGAACUAGCACCCCUUCCAGGAGUAGUAGCAUACUUUGCUCCUCUUCCAGCAGCAGCAGAUGAACUAGCACCCCUUCCAGCAGCAGGAGAUGAGGCUGCACCCCUUCCAGCAGCACUAGUAGUAUUUGCACCUCUUGCAGCAGCAGGAGAGGAGUUUGUAGUAGAUGAUGAUGGUGCACCCCUAGCACUUCCAGUAGCUGAUGAAGCUGCACCAUGGUGCCAUUCAGGUACAGUCCUGUUUUCCUGUAAUUAAAAAAUUAAACAACUUUAUAAUGAUCAGUCAAUAGAAAUGAACACUCAACUAAUUUCAAAAUGAAAAUACCAUGUGCUUGUUCCUCCUGAUUUGCAGAUCAGGCCUCAAUGGCUUUGGACAACUUGUGUACUUGUGUCCUUGUAGCUUGCAGUUGCCACAUGUUAUAGUAGCCAUCCUAGAUGUCUGCUUUGCUUGAGGUGGCUCAAACUUUCCUUUUUUCCUUUUCUCUUCUGCUGGCCCCUUCUUGUCAUCUUUGAAUUGUGGUGGUUCAAUGUUAGGUGUUGGAGUUUUCACCCAGCUAUCUGGACCAGGAACAGGGUAAAUUACUGGCUUAUAUGCCUCCAAGUACAUAGAUUUCUUGAAAAACACAUUGAUAUGAUCCUCUGGCAGCUGUUUAGACGUAUAGAUGGCAGAACAAGCAUGGUUGCAAGGAACUCCAGUGAUGUCCCAUUUCUUGCACCCACAUGUCUGUAGGUUUGUGUCAACACCAUAGGUCUUGUCUCCACUAGUGACUUGGAAAAGUCCUUGGCCAGCUAUCAGUGCUUUGCAAUCCCUUGCAUACUUCUUGUUCAUCUCCAACCUCUCUGCAUAGGUUGGUGCAAUCUCCCAUCUAGCACAUUUUCCACCCUCUCUCUUCUGGUGGAACCUCACUAGAAACUUGUCCUUGAUCCCAUUGAUCGUUGUGACAAUUGGCUUGUUCCUUACAUCUAGAAUGUACUUAUUAAAAACUUCACUUAAGUUAUUCACCACCAAAUCAGUUUUGCAAUUAGUGUCCAUUGCAUGCCUAGACCAAGCUUUAGGAGGAAUUCUUGACAUCCACUCCCAAGCAGCAGUGCACUCAGCCUUCAUGCUUUCCAUAGCCAAAUUAAAGUCAUGUUCAGUGUAAGCAUAGGCAGCUGCAUCCAUGCAUCUCUUCAAAUCCUCUCCUCCAAAUCCUGCUCUCUGGAAGUUUGCAUAGAUGUGCCUCAAACAGUACCUGUGAUGGCAGUUUGGGAAUACUGUUGUCACUGCAUUGAGUAGACCCUGCAUGAAAGUGAAUUGAAAUGAUUUUACAUGAUUUAAUAUGAUUUAAUAUGAUUUUAAAUGAUUUUUAUUGAUUUAAUAUGAUUUUAAAUGAUUUUAAAUGAUUUAAUAUGAUUUUAAUUGAUUUUAAAUGAUUUAAUAUGAUUUUAAUUGAUUUAAUAUGAUUUUAAAUGAUUUAAUAUGAUUUUAAUUGAUUUAAUAUGAUUUUAAAUGAUUUAAUAUGAUUUUAAAUGAUAUAAAAUCAUUUAAAAUCACUAAACAUGAUGGUUUCACUUUGAUGAUCAACUAGUCUUGAUUGGUCACCCUAGGCCAUCAUGGGUCACCCUAGGCCAUCAUGGGUCACCCUAGGCUAUCUAGACCUAAGUGUCGACAAGAAGCGUUACGACUCGAUACCUACCAACUAGUCUUGAUGGCAUCACUUUGAUGAUGCCUAUGUUUCUUGAUCCUAUAUGGGUCACCCUAGGCUAUCUAUACCUAAGUGUCGACAAGAAGCGUUACGACUCGACACCUACCAACUAGUCUUGAUGGCAUCACUAUGAUGAUGCCUAUGUUUCUUGAUCCUACAUGGGUCACCCUAGGCCAUCUAGACCUAAGUGUCUACNNNNNNNNNNNNNNNNNNNNNNNNNNNNNNNNNNNNNNNNNNNNNNNNNNNNNNNNNNNNNNNNNNNNNNNNNNNNNNNNNNNNNNNNNNNNNNNNNNNNNNNNNNNNNNNNNNNNNNNNNNNNNNNNNNNNNNNNNNNNNNNNNNNNNNNNNNNNNNNNNNNNNNNNNNNNNNNNNNNNNNNNNNNNNNNNNNNNNNNNNNNNNNNNNNNNNNNNNNNNNNNNNNNNNNNNNNNNNNNNNNNNNNNNNNNNNNNNNNNNNNNNNNNNNNNNNNNNNNNNNNNNNNNNNNNNNNNNNNNNNNNNNNNNNNNNNNNNNNNNNNNNNNNNNNNNNCUAGUCUUGAUGGCAUCACUAUGAUAAUGCCUAUGUUUCUUGAUCCUACAUGGGUCACCCUAGGCCAUCUAGACCUAAGUGUCGACAAGAAGCAUUACGACUCGACACCUACCAACUAGUCUUGAUGGCAUCACUUUGAUGAUGCCUAUGUUUCUUGAUCCUACAUGGGUCACCCUAGGCCAUCUAGACCUAUGUGUCGACAAGAAGCGUUAUGACUCGACACCUACCAACUAGUCUUGAUGGCAUCACUUUGAUGAUGGCAUCAACUAAAUAAACAAGCUAAUGAACUAAAUGAACAAGUAAAUGAACUAAAUGAACAAGUAAAUGAACAAGCAAAUGAACUAAAUGAACUAACCUUCUGUCUAUCAGACAUGAAUGUGUACUUUCCAAAUUUGCCCUCUUCACUUCCUCCUAGAGCAUACUUGAGUUGUGUCAAGAACCAGGACCAGUUCAUUGUAUCUUUAACUCCAACCACUCCAAAUGCAAUGGGGUACAUAUUGUUGUUUGCAUCCCUUCCAGUAGCUACUAGUAUCUGUGCACCACUUGUCAAUUUGAUGAAGCAGCCAUCUAGACCUACAUCCAUUCAAGAAGCCCUCACAACAUGCAUUCAAACUGAAAAAUAGACCAUGGAACCUUGGUCCAGCAGUAGGAUUUUCUCUGGUUUUGCCACUAACAGUAGUGACAAUGCACCUAGAUCUAGGAUUUGUAAGCUUCACAGUCUCCAAAUAGUCUCUCAGCCUCUUAUAUUGCUUCUUGUGAUCACCAAGCACAAUCUCCUUUGCUUUCUUCUUAGCCCUCCAUGCCAUCAUCCUAGGAAUCUCAAGCCCAAAUUGCCUCUUUGCCUUGUCAACAAUAGCAGGUACAGUAGUGUUGGGAUCUGAUCUGACAGUUUCAAGCAUUUUGUUGCCAAGCCACCUUGAACUAAUCCUAGUUUUCUCAGACUGGGUGGGACAUGUGUGCUCCAACCUCAUCUUCUUAAUGCAGAAAGUGGGCUCAUUUCUUAUCUGUGCUGCUACCAUGUAGAACUGACAUCCAUCUCCAUCACAGCAAACUAUUAUCCUAUCACUGCAGUUUCUGUGAUAUUUGUAUCUUCUAAGUUGUUUCACAUGCAAGUUGACAAGGGCCUCUCUGAAUUGGUAAACAUCUUUGAAACAGAGCUUCAACUGAAAUUGUUGUUCUGGAUGCAUCCUGUCCUCAUCAUACCAGACCCUAGGUGGUCUUUUCUUAGCUCUACUCCUUCUGCCAGAGCUGGUAGCAAAGGACAUUGGUUCAUUGCCAUCAUCAUAUGCUUCAAAACAUGUAUCUUCCUCUUCUUAAGAUGGAAACCAAUCAGGAUUAAUGGUUGGCCCAGCACUUGAGUGGGACCUACUUGUAGGACCUGGCCUCUUUGCCUUCUUCUUAACAGGCUCAGGAACUGGGAUCUCUUGGGCCUCCUCAUCAUCUUCUUCCUGGUCCAUGUCAUAUAUAUCUUCAGGAUCUGUGUCCCCCUCACAGUGUGUACUAGCCAUGUAUUCAGCUCUCUUCCUCUUUAUGUCAGCAAUAGUUUCAUCUAGCUCAUGUUCCUCUUUCCUCCUCUUUGCACUCUGUUCUUCCACAUACUGCACUGAAUCUGAGUCACCUUCUUCUUCUCCUGCACCUAAGAGGUCCACAUCAACUACAAAUUCUUCAUCACUGCUUGAAUCUGAGUCAUCUUCUUCUUCUCCUACAGGAAUUUCUUCCUCACUAACUGCAUUGUCCUCCUCAUCUGAAUCAAACUGAAAAUCAGCAUAAUUGACACUUACUUCAGUGUUAAGCUGUGUACCAAGAUGUAACUGACAGUUAGGAGGAACUGAUUUGAGUGGCAAAAAAUUUACACUUUUCUGUGUCCCAAGAUGUAACUGACAAUUAGGAGGAACUGAUUUGUGCACAACACCUGAUUCAGCAACAGGAAAGACAACAUCUGGCUCUGCAUCUAUUUGCUGUGCAUCUUGAUCUUCUCCAAUUGGUGGUUCAAUAACUAACUUUUCCUUUACAACUGUCAGUGACAAUGUCUGGGUGCUCUCAAAUUCUCUCAGCAUUCGAACUACUUCAAUGUUGCCUUUAAUGACACAAACACCUUGCAGCCCUAUAUCUUCCUCUUUCAAGUAGCAAAGACUGUCAUCCUCACAGUAUCCAUUGGUGACCAUUACAUUGACCAAACUACCAUAAGUGAUUUCUCUUUCAGACAUCUUAACAAGAGCAUACUUCUUCCCAGGAAACUGGAAAUAGAUUGACCAUAAAUCUUCAGGCCUAAAAUGGACAUACAAAUGAAUAUUAAUAAGUCAAUUGUAUCAACAUAACUGAUCAUUAUGUCUGACCAUUAGAAUGCACUAUUCAAAAAAUUUAGAACCAUCAAAUUAGUACUAACAUUACUAGCAUAGACAAAUGAAUAUCUUCAGGCCUAAUAUAGCUCACCAUUACAAUGUAGUGCAAGCAAAAUUACCAAGUCAAUUAUAGUAACAUGACAAUAACAUAAAUGAACACUGCAGUGUGAUUUUCUCCAAAAAUUUAGAACCCUACAGUACUACUAACAUAACUGAACCCUGACUGAAGAUGUGAUAUUCGAUAUAUAUUCAGGAAGUCACUUCUAAAUGACUAACAAAUCAAUAUUCAGAACUAGAAUCUUUGUUCAAUGUAUAAAACAGAUCCAGUAGUAAGGAAAGAUUGAAAGAACAUAUUUUGAAAGAUUCAGAUUACCUAGCUGAAGAUGGGGCGAACGGGAGCACAUCCUCGGGACCAAUCUGCGAAGCUGCUUCCUCGGUACCAGGCUCCGGCGACAGGCCCACCACCGCGGCCGACUCUGGAUCUAGGUCGCAGCUGUCAUCGAUGUGGGGGCCGAUGACUUCGCAUUGCGAGCGCAGCCGCUUCUGCCCUGAAGUAGUACCACCGCCCUCGCCGCUGAGUGCGUCGUCGCCGCUUCCGUCGACUCCGUGUGCGCCGUCGACGCCGGAGCUGGUCGCCAUCGGAGCGGAGCGGGGAAGGACUGAAUCGAGGGGUGACUGAAUCGACGGGGGGAACGGCUUGACCUAGUAGACGGGCGCGCCGAAACGGCCGUCUCUCGCCGUCUAACGGUGUCCGUCAACACGCGCCAUGUCAGCCCGACAGGCGGGACCCACCUGUCCGAUUCGCUGUUUUCUGGGUUAAAACGCAGUGUCAGUGCUCCGCGUUACAGAUUAGCCCCAUUGUUGGUGGUUUUUUGUGAACUGCCUCAAAUGUGGUACCGAUCUGUUACCCGAGCCCAUAAUGUGAUGGUUUUGAGUAAAUAACUAUCAAAAUGCUCAACGAGGCCUUCCGUCCUUCCAUCGAGGUGGUUGGGUAGAAACAUGGUGUAGGAUGGUGUCUAGUUUGCAUCUUUAGCUCUCUGUACGAGAGCAAGUGUUUUCCUGUGUUUUUGGCUUUUUUGGGCAGUUUGCCAACUCUACUUGUAUCAUGUACCUUUUUCCCGUCUAUAAUGCAAAGGCAGAGUUCUUGUUGUUCUCGUCAAAAAAAGAGAUGCUGCAAGCAUGAUAAUUUUGAAAAAAGUCCGCUAAAGAUCUGGUUAUGUUAAAACUUAGGCAUGUACUCCGUCCAUGCUUGAAAAGAAGACGUAUAAAUGUGUGACGUCGGAUAGUGCAAGAAUUGAGUAUUGGUAUGGCUCAUAGUUUUCCUAAAUUUUAAUUAAACUUUGCACUGUUCGACUUAGACAUAAUUUAUACUCCUUUUUUUUACUUGACUUCUAUACUCCUUAUUUUUCAAGUACGAAGAUACUCCAUCCGUUCCUAAAUAUAAGUCUUUUUAGAUAUUUCAAUUUCAAUACAAACUACAUAUGGAUGUAUAUAGACACUAGUGGUUGGGGCGCCACCUGUGGCGCCUCCUGAGAGGAAGUUUGUGCGGUGCCAGGUAGGAUAACGCACAUUCAAUAGCGAGCACUGCUUCACACACGACGGUUACUACACGAAACACAAACGACAUGUCAUAUCCAACCAUUCAAGCCCAAGCCUAAACAGCCCCUGCCCGUUGGAUUAACCAUCGUCUUGGCAUCGUCCACCAAAGUGUCGUCCAUGAAGCAGUUUUGUUCAACAGCCCUUUUUGGUCAGCUUUACAAUCUAAAAUACAUUUCAUUCAAAAAAGAUCGUUGCCUACCACAUUGGCGCAUUUCACAUGAUCAGUACUACAAGUUCUAUCUCUUUACAAAAUAAUAUAGCAACGCUGCAAGCUUGUUGCACUACGCUGGCGCAAAGGGCAACACGUCAUGUCGAGGCCGUAGACGACUUGCGCGUUCUGUUGCUGGUACUCCCUCCGUUUCGAUUUACUCGUCGUGGUUUUAGUUCAAAUUUGAACUAAAACCACGACAAGUAAAUCAGAAUGAAGGGAGUAGUUGGUAAUGACGGUCUGAUCCCAUGCCAUCACGUCUAGCACCAGGCACAUGACCUGCUCCUCGAACACGUAGUUCCCACGCGGUAGCUCCUAGUUGUUGGAAUCCUUCCUCCACAUGAUUGAAGCAACAGUGUUAAGAUUGUGAAGAAUGAGAAAAUCGUCAAACAAGUGUUGAUUGUUGUCAGAUUAUGAAAUUGGACCAUGAAUGGUGGCCCCUACCUCCAAGUUUUCAAGUGGUCGUCUACUCCAACAGCUUAGCAUGAAAUUUAUAGAUUUUUCGGUGAAUCCAAGUUUCACACUGAGUGUAGGACAGCCGUAUAAUCAAGGGGUGUACAAGCAAAAUGGUUUGAACUCUGACAAGAUCAUAAACCAAAUUGUUCAUAAGACAAUUUCACCCAAAGAGAAUUUAACUCAAGAGAUUUAUAUUGGUUUGAACUUUCGGUCUACCUUCUGAGAAUUUAAUUCUCUGUUUUCAUUGUCUUGGUAGCUCCGAGUUUCAGACCUGGCUAUCCCGUGCACAACCGCAUUGUCUUCCCGUGGACAAAAUCGGAAUCUUACUUCAUCAAAAGCACUAGAACCAUGGAAAAUAGCAGAGCCGUAGAGGAGCAAGGCCCCAUCACACAAUGUCUCAAUUACCUGUGUAGUCAGAUUGUAAUAUGAUGGUACGUCUGCUGAGCUAAGAAUAGAGGAUAAACUUUUUUUAUUCAUUAGUUUGAAAAAAAAAAUAUACACGAACAUUCUUCAAAUUUGCGAUGAAUUUUUCUGGAACAUUUACAUGUGUGUACGUGAGCGUUUUUUAUUUUCUCUAGUUUCUUUUUGUUCUUUUAGAACAAACUUUUUAGUAUGUUUUUUCAGCGAACAUGCACUUUUUAACAUGCUAUUACAGUACAAUCAAUAUAUACAAAUAUUUGUCGAAACAGAAAAAAAAA